rnacentral:lncRNA from 1 species
GGUUGCAUUUCCUAGGUUGGAAAAGAUAACAAUCAACAAGUUGAGAAAUGUGAAAAUGAUGUUUCAUAAUAACUUUGCACCAGGUUCUUUUCAAAAUCUACGAGAAAUAAGAGUUGAGGGAUGUGGGAGUCUGAAAAAUCUAUUUCUAGUGUCAAUAGCCAAAGAUCUUCCACAACUUGAAGAUUUAUGCAUCACUAAUUGUGGAGUGGAGGAGAUUGUAUCGAAAGGGGAAGGAGUGGAGGAGCAGCCUGUGAGGUUUUAAUUUCCGCUAGUGUCUUCCCUUGAGGAUACAUCCCUAAAAGAGCUCCAAUGUUUCUAUGAAGCGCAACAUACAAUAGUCUGGCCCAUGUUGAAAAAUUUGAAAACAGAUUGUUCUGCUUUGCUAAAGAUAGUGGCUUCGGAACAUCUUAGAUUAAUCCAAGGAAAUGAGCAGCCAGUUUUGUUGGUUGAAGAGGUAUGUAUAUCAUUACAACUAUAUUUCUUUUCAUGAUUUAAGCCACCGUCACAUCCAUCUCUUGUUGAUAUAUAUAUUAUUUGAAACGGUGGUUGCUUAUCCAUUUUAAUUCGGAUUUUUUAUGCACUUCUUUCAGCUUAUUUUUAUCAUUUUUUAUUUCUAAGGUAUUGUGUUUCUUAAAACAAAAUAUUCAUCUAUUUUGGAUUGGUUUGAUUUAAUAUUGAUUUUGUUGAGAUUUAAUCAUCGAUAUCAAACACCAAAAUUGUAGAUCUUAUGUUCUUUUUAAGCAUAUAGAUCAACAUUGUGCCUAACUUGUUUAUGUUUAAUUGGUUUCAAGGUCAUUCCCAAUUUAGAGGAACUUGAGUUAUUAAAUUUUGGUGAUAUGGACCAGUUUCCACCAGCCUUGGCAAACUCGACAGCAUGCAGGCCAUGAAGACCAAGUCAUGCAGGAGCUGCUGAUACAAGCUUAUUUUGUUUAUUUUGUAAUUCCCAGUCAAUGAAAUGUAAUCUUAGUUCAUUUCUAACUAAGUUAGAUUGUUGACUGAUGUAAUUAGCUUAUGUAUGAGCUGUAAACACAACUUUGUGUAAGUUUACAAGCCAAAAUUUCAAGUUUCCAUGUCAUUAGUGGAGGUAGGUGAUGUUUAGGUAAUUACUUACUGUUUUUGACAAGCUUAGUGCCUGUUUUAUGUAUUGGCAUUGUGCCAUUAUGCAUUUUAUGAAUGAAGUUCAGUUUGUUCAUCAAUUUCUCUAUUCAUUUUUCUUAGCUUUUCUUCCUUUCUCUUGCUCGAAUUCUCUUGUUUGCUCAGCAAGUCUCGAGACUUGCUUAACAAGUUUGCACUGAAUCUGUUAGUUUCAGUUACAGCACCAACAAUUGGUAUCUAAAGCCUAUUUUCUUAAGGGACCUGUUACACAAAUCCAUGGCUUCAUCAAGCUUUUCACCAGCUGCACCUCAAGUCUUCAAUGGAGAAGGCUAUCACAUAUGGGUGGUCAAAAUGAAGACCUACCUGCAGGCUUUCGAUCUGUGGGAGGUGGUCAACUCUGAUGUUGAACCAGAGCCACUUAGAGCUAAUCCAACAGUGGCUCAGAUCAGGCAGCAUGCUGAUGAAAGGACCAAGAGGCACAAGACUAUGUCUUGCAUCCAGAACUCAGUGUCUGAUGUGAUUUUCACAAGGAUUAUGGCCUGUGAAUCACCAAAACAGGCCUGGGACAAGUUGCAGGAAGAGUUUCAAGGGACAGAGAGGACAAGGCAGCAACAGUUGUUAAACUUGAGGAGAGAUUUCAAGAAUUUGAAGAUGAAGGAAGAAGAAACUGUCAAGCAAUAUUCUGACAGGAUUAUGGCUGUGGUUAACAGCAUCAGGCUCCUUGGAGAGCAGUUCAAUGAAGCUAGGAUAGUGGAGAAGGUUAUAGCAACUCUGCCUGAGAGGUAUGAGGCAAAAAUCUCAUCUCUCGAGGACUCAAGGGACCUGUCCACCAUCUCCCUGACAGAGUUUAUCAAUGCUCUAUAUGCUCAAGAGCAGAGGAGAGCAAGCAGACUGGAGGAGCACCAAGAAGGUGCCUUUCAGGCAAGAACAAAUACUACCUACAAAGGCAAGAAGGCCUGGAGAGACAAGCCAAAGAAUGAUGCUGCAAGGAAAGAAGGUCAGACUUGCAAGCACUGCAGAAAGGCUGGUCAUUCAGAAGAAAAAUGCUGGUUCAAUCCAGAUGCUGUGUGUCAGCAUUGUAAGAAGAAGGGUCAUGUUGAGAGAGUCUGUAAGAGCAAGGCCAAAUCAAGGCACAAUCAGUUUCAACAGAUGAAAGCUGAGGCUCGAGUAGCUAAGGAGGACAGUGACCAAGAGAAGCAAGUUUUUGCUGUGUCAUGCUCAGCUGCUCAGGAAAGGUCCUCAUCUGGUUGGCUCCUAGACAGUGGAUGCACCAACCACAUGACACCUGAUGCUGCAAUCUUCAAGUCUUUAGACAGAAGCUGCAGAACUAAGGUCAAGAUAGGAAAUGGUCAUUUUAUUCAAGCUGAAGGCAAGGGUGAUGUGCUAAUAUGCACCCUUACAGGUACCAAAGUGAUUUCAAAUGUGCUGUUGGUGCCUGAAAUUGACAGAAACCUGCUCAGCAUAGCUCAGUUGCUGGAAAAAGGUUAUUCAGUUGUGUUUAAAGACCACCAGUGCCAAAUCAGUGAUCCAAGUGGAUCCAAACUGAUGGCAGUCCCCAUGGCUGAUAAGAGCUUUGUGGUUGACUGGACAAAGAAGUCAGACAUUGCCUACACAGCCACUUCAGAUGAAUCCAAGCUGUGGCAUCAAAGACUGGGACAUACCAACUUCAUAUCGAUGGCCCGAAUGAUCAGAGAAGACCUGGCUGAAAACUUCAUCAACUCAGUGGACCAUGAUGAUGUAUGUGAAGUAUGUCAGCUAGGAAAGCAGGCCAGACUCCCAUUUCCCUCGAAUCAAGCCUGGAGAGCCUCUGAAAAACUCCAACUGGUGCAUACUGAUGUGUGUGGCCCUAUGAAGACUAAGUCAUUAAGUGGAAACAGGUAUUUCAUACUGUUCAUUGAUGAUUUCUCGAGAUAUUGCUGGAUUUACUUCUUAAAACAGAAAUCAGAGGUGGCCACUGUGUUUUGGAAGUUCAAAACUGCUGCUGAGACUGAAACAGGCUGCAAGGUAAAGUCCAUAAGGUCUGAUAAUGGGACUGAGUACACCUCAGCUCAGUUCCAAGCCUUCUGUGAUAAGGCAGGCAUCAAACAUCAACUUACCAACACAUAUACACCUCAGCAGAAUGGGGUAAGUGAAAGGAAGAAUAGGAGUUUGAUGGAUAUGGCCAGGUGCUUGAUGAUUCAGAAGAAUCUGCCUAAAGCACUAUGGGCAGAAGCAGUUAACACUGCAACAUACAUUCAAAAUAGACUUCCAACCAAGGCUUUGGAUCAAAAGACCCCAUUCGAGGCCUGGUUUAGCUUCAAGCCAUCACUGGCUCAUCUGAAGGUCUUUGGAUGCAUCUGUUAUGCACAUGUACCUGCUGUUAAAAGGGACAAAUUGUCUGAAAGGGCUCGACCUGGUGUUUUGGUGGGCUAUAGCACUGUUAAUAAGGGCUAUAGGAUUUUAGAUCCUUCAACAAACAAAGUGUCAGUAAGCAGGGAUGUGGUAUUUGAUGAGAGGUCAUGUUGGAACUGGGAAAGACAUGAACCUGAAGAAGUUUCUGAAGAACUUGCAACAGACCAAGCUGAGCCAGACCAAAAUGUCCCUGAAAUGGAUAUUGAUGAUGAACCAGUCAGAGGAACAAGGCCAUUGGCUGAAAUUUAUGAAAGGGCUCAUGUAGCCAUAGCUGAACCAAACAACUUUGAAGAGGCUGAGGCUCAGCAAGGGUGGAAGCAGGCAAUGGCUGAGGAGAUCAGCAUGAUUGAGAAGAACCAGACCUGGGAAUUGGUUGAAAGGCCAGUCAAAAGGAAGGUGAUUGGGGUGAAAUGGGUGUACAAAGCCAAGCAGAAUGCUGAUGGUACCUUGAACAAGCUGAAAGCAAGGCUAGUUGUCAAGGGGUUCAGUCAGAGGUAUGGCUUGGACUACCUGGAGACCUUUGCACCAGUGGCCAGGCUCGACACCAUCAGACUGCUGAUUGCCUUAGCAGCACAGCUCGAAUGGAAGAUCCAUCAACUUGAUGUGAAAUCAGCCUUUCUGAAUGGUUUCUUAGAUGAAGACAUCUAUGUUGAACAACCACAAGGGUUUGAAAUAGCUGGCAGAGAGCAUAUGGUCUACAAACUGAAGAAGGCCCUAUAUGGAUUAAAACAGGCUCCAAGGGCUUGGUAUAGCAGAAUCGAUGGCUACUUGACUGAUCUGGGAUUCGAUCGAAGCAAGAGUGAGCCAACAAUGUAUGUCAAGAAACAAGGGACACAAAUACAACUCAUUGUGUCCCUGUAUGUUGAUGAUCUUCUGGUGAUAGGAGGAGAUCGAGUAGUGCUGGCUGAUUUCAAGACCAAGAUGCAGGAAGUGUUUGAAAUGUUUGAUCUUGGGGAGAUGUCAUACUUUCUUGGAAUGGAAGUGUCUCAAGUACAGAAUGAGAUAUUUCUAAGCCAGAGAAGCUUUGCCACAAAGAUUCUGACCAAGUUCUCCAUGCAAAACAGCAAGGCAACUAAAACACCUGUUGCUGUUGGAGAAAAACUAUCGAGCCAAGGUGAUUUUAAGAAAGUUUAUGAAACAACCUACAGGAGUCUAGUUGGUUGCUUGCUAUACUUGACUGCCACUAGACCAGACAUCAUGUAUGCUGUAGGAUUACUCUCAAGGUUCUUGCAUUGCUGCAAUGAGAAGCAUUUCCAAGCUGCAAAAAGAGUGCUGAGAUAUGUCAAAGGCACUUUAAACUAUGGUUUGAAGUACAGCAAAGAAGGAAAUCUGAAGCUGGUUGGCUACACUAAUAGUGACUGGGCUGGCUCGAUAGAUGACAUUAAAAACACCUCAGGGUAUGCUUUUAACCUUGGUUCAGCCAUGUUUUGCUGGAGCUCAAAGAAGCAAAGUCUAGUAGCUCAAUCUACUGCUGAAGCAGAGUAUGUGGCAACAGCAAGUGCUGUCAACCAAGCCAUAUGGCUAAGGAAAAUAUUGGCUGACUUGAAUGUGCAUCAAGAGGAAGCUACUGAGAUCUUCUGUAACAACCAAUCUGCAGUAGCAAUUGCUAAAAAUCUAGUGUUCCAUGGAAGAACAAAACAUUUCAGCAUCAAGUUGCAUGUUGUUCGAGAAAUGGAGCAAGCUCAGGAAGUAAAGCUGAUCCACUGUAAUUCAGAGGAUCAACUUGCAGACAUUUUAACCAAAGCCCUUAGUGUCACAAGGUUCGAAUGUCUAAGAAAGAAGCUAGGUGUUUGCUCUAUGCAAACCAAGGAGGAGUGAUGAAGUUGGUUCAGCAUGCAGCAAACUCGACAGCAUGCAGGCCAUGAAGACCAAGUCAUGCAGGAGCUGCUGAUGCAAGCUUAUUUUGUUUAUUUUGUAAUUCCUAGUUAAUGAAAUGUAAUCUUAGUUCAUUUCUAACUAAUUUAGAUUGUUGACUGAUGUAAUUAGCUUAUGUAUGAGCUGUAAACACAACUUUGUGUAAGUUUACAAGCCAAAAUUUCAAGUUUCCAUGUCAUUAGUGGAGGUAGGUGAUGUUUAGGUAAUUACUUACUGUUUUUGACAAGCUUCGUGCCUGUUUUAUGUAUUGGCAUUGUGCCAUUAUGCAUUUUAUGAAUGAAGUUCAGUUUGUUCAUCAAUUUCUCUAUUCAUUUUUCUUAGCUUUUCUUCCUUUCUCUUGCUCGAAUUCUCUUGUUUGCUCAGCAAGUCUCGAGACUUGCUUAACAAGUUUGCACUGAAUCUGUUAGUUUCAGUUACAGCACCAACAGUUUUUGAAGUGCGUGGUGGUGGUGGCUCUCGAUCUUCUAUAUUUCCUUUCGUUCGAAGAUUUUACAAUUUGGAUAGUUUUAGGCUUCCUUCGAAGAUUUUACAGUUUGGAUAGUUUUAGGCUUCGUGAUUUUGAUUUCAAAUAUGUAGUCCCUUGUAAAGGACACGUUGGGACUCUCACACCAAUUAGAAAUCUGAUAUUGAAUCGUGCCAUAAAUCUUAAACAUAUAUGGAGGAAAGAUUCGGAGUUUGACUAUAUUCUUUCUAAUCUUCAAACACUCAAAGUUCAUAAUUGUGAUGAUUGGAUAAAUAUUACAGUCUCCUCAUCUUUACAAAAUCUCACGACUUUGAAUGUGUCAUUUUGUCAUUUUUUUUUAGGAUGAAUUCUAUGAGGGAGACUAUUUGAACAUCUCUGACACAUUUCCCAAGUCAAUAGAAAUAUGGAUUAGAAACCCUCAAGAAAUUUUGGAAUUCAAAAACCUUGUUUCGUUGCAUUUUUAUAAAUGUAGUAGCUUGAAGUACAUAUUUACUUCGUCUAUGCUUUUGAGCCUCAAUCAACUACAAGUGAUAAAAGUAAAAGAAUGCAGUUCAAUGGAACAAGUGGUUAGGGAGGAAGCAAUGACAGAUAAAUUCACAUUUCUUGCACUCUUCUCCAUAAGAAUUGAGUUGUGUUCCAACUUGACAAAUUUCUAUUUGGGAAGUCAAGCUCUUGAAUUUCCACAGCUGAGAAAUAUCACGAUAGCUGAGCGUCCAAAAAUGACUACAUUUUCUUUCUCAGUUUCAAGAGGAAGUGGUGAUGCAAGUGAAAACGUGGUUGGCGAGGGGGGCGCCUAUGAUAACCCUGCAAUAUUUUUCAGCAAUAAGGUAAGUUUAGUAUUCAAUAUUUAUCUGCACAACUUAUUUCACGUUUUCCUUUUAUUUGAUUAAUUUAUAUGAGUGUGUCUGGUCUAUAUAUAUAUUAGUAUUAAUGUCACGUGAUACGUGUUGUAAAAAAUUAAUAUAAUAAAAUCCAUAAAAAUAUUAAUAAAUAAGAUAAUGUUUUUUAAUUUGAAGUUUAAAGUAUAAAUAAAUAUAUAAAAUAAGAAUAAAGGAAAAACUUAAAAGUGAAAUACUAAUAAACAAUAAGAAUUUAAGAGAAGUUUUAAAGUUAAAUACUAAUGGACAAUAAAUAAUAAAAUAAUAAUAGAAAAUAAAAUAAAAAACUAAUCUUCAUAUAUUUUAAUUUGAAGAAUAUUUGAUGUACUAGCGGUACACAAGCUUCAUGUAUCAUCGGUGAAUAAGAACAUACAAUUAUCAUUAAAUACCACAAAAAUAUAGUAAAGGGUUUAUAAAUAAAUACUAAUAAAUUUAUCUAAACAUAAUUAAAUAAAAAUUAAUUGUAAUUAAAUAUCAAAACCCUAAAUCCUAAACUUGAAAUUCUAAGCCCUUAAACAUAAGAUCUUAAAUCCGAAAGUUAUUAAUAUUUAUUUAUAAUAGCUACGACUAAGGUUAAAUAAAUUUUUCAUCUCUUUUUGCUUUUGAACUUACAUUUUUAUCAAAUCACCUCAAAAUGAAAGAGAAAGUUUAUAUUUGUUAACUUCACUUAUGUGACAAUCCAUGUGUAUGCAAAGUUAGCAAUUAAUUAAUUUUUAAAAUAUUGUAUAUAUUUUUAAAUAUUUUUAUAAAAUUUUCAAAAUAAAAUAAAAAUUAAUUGUUGACAUGUCAUCUACAGCCAAUCCAGUGUAUAUAACAUCAGCAAAGUUAACAAAUGUCAAUUUUUUUUCUCUACUUUGAAUGAUUUGACAAAUAACACAAGUUCAAAGGAUAAAAGAAAUAAAAAUAAAAAUAGAGAGCUAAAAUGAAAAUUUUUUUUUUAUAAAGUUGGGGGUUAAAUAAAUUAUCUAUGCCUAAGUCUUUUUUAAGGUAACUCAUUAAAUAACUUAAGUAAUUAAUGUAAAUCAUUAAUGGAAACUACAUAAAUAUGUGAGUCCAACUUAGUUAGAAACAAGCAUAUUCCCCUAUUCAAUCGCAUCAAUAAUAAUCAUUCAACAAUCAUUAUAGUAUAUAUGAAAGCUCCAAGUUGUAUAGAAAAAGGCUUCUUUCUUUAAAAAAAAAUUUGCUUUAGGUUAGAUUUAUGCUGCUGAACAUUUCAACUAAACAAAAAAGGUCCACGUCUGCUAGCUAUAUUUAUCAGUUUAUAAAUCUUCAUACUCAUCUACUCUUUUUGAUUGUGUUUAUAAGUAAAGAAGGAAGAGUUAUGAUGUUAUCUUAUAAUGAAAUUUAUGUCAACAGGUUGUCAUUCCUCCUUUGCAGCAUCUGGAAUUGUCCGUCGUUAACAUUCAUGAGAUAUGGCACCACCCAUCCUCCCCAUCUGUCGGAUGUCUAAAUUCCUUGCAAGUGAAGAGGUGUCACAAUUUGAAAUACCUGUUCCCGUCUUUCUUGGUAAAAGAUCUUGUGCAACUCCGACGCCUUGAAAUUUUGGACUGUAAUAUGAUGGAACAAGUAAUAUUCACGGAUGGAUUGGUUGAAGAACAUCAAGGGAGGAAUCAGAUGUUUUUCUCUGAACUAGAAUUGCUGUGGCUAAAAGAACUUCCCAAACUCACAAGUUUAUGCUUUGGGAAUUGCUUUGAAUUCCAAUGUUUGACAGAUUUAGAACUAACAAAUUGUCCAUUGCUUAAAACAUUCAUCACUAAAUGUGUAUCUGAAGAUGAACCUAAAAUUGGCCAACAUGUACAAGCGAGUAACUUGGAGGUUCAUAACUCAUCUCUCCUCAAUGAAAAGGUCAUUUCUUUAUGGGUUCUCCUUUUAAUUUGUGUUGCUUCCAUUGCUCUUAUUCAUUUGAAGUUCUUUCUUUUCCAUGCAUAUUUCAGUUAUUAACCUAAUGAAAUGAUUUAGCAGGUUGUUUUCCCUAGUUUGGAGAAUGAUGAAGUUGGUUCAGCAUGCAGCAAACUCGACAGCAUGCAGGCCAUGAAGACCAAGUCAUGCAGGAGCUGCUGAUGCAAGCUUAUUUUGUUUAUUUUGUAAUUCCUAGUCAAUGAAAUGUAAUCUUAGUUCAUUUCUAACUAAGUUAGAUUGUUGACUGAUGUAAUUAGCUUAUGUAUGAGCUGUAAACACAACUUUGUGUAAGUUUACAAGCCAAAAUUUCAAGUUUCCAUGUCAUUAGUGGAGGUAGGUGAUGUUUAGGUAAUUACUUACUGUUUUUGACAAGCUUCGUGCCUGUUUUAUGUAUUGGCAUUGUGCCAUUAUGCAUUUUAUGAAUGAAGUUCAGUUUGUUCAUCAAUUUCUCUAUUCAUUUUUCUUAGCUUUUCUUCCUUUCUCUUGCUCGAAUUCUCUUGUUUGCUCAGCAAGUCUCGAGACUUGCUUAACAAGUUUGCACUGAAUCUGUUAGUUUCAGUUACAGCACCAACAAUUGGUAUCUAGAGCCUAUUUUCUUAAGGGACCUGUUACACAAAUCCAUGGCUUCAUCAAGCUUUUCACCAGCUGCACCUCAAGUCUUCAAUGGAGAAGGCUAUCACAUAUGGGUGGUCAAAAUGAAGACCUACCUGCAGGCUUUCGAUCUGUGGGAGGUGAUCAACUCUGAUGUUGAACCAGAGCCACUUAGAGCUAAUCCAACAGUGGCUCAGAUCAAGCAGCAUGCUGAUGAAAGGACCAAGAGGCACAAGACUAUGUCUUGCAUCCAAAACUUAGUGUCUAAUGUGAUUUUCACAAGGAUUAUGGCCUGUGAAUCACCAAAACAGGCCUGGGACAAGUUGCAGGAAGAGUUUCAAGGGACAGAGAGGACAAGGCAGCAACAGUUGUUAAACUUGAGGAGAGAUUUCGAGAAUUUGAAUAUGAAGGAAGAAGAAACUGUCAAGCAAUAUUCUGACAGGAUUAUAGCUGUGGUUAACAGCAUCAGGCUCCUUGGAGAGCAGUUCAAUGAAGCUAGGAUAGUGGAGAAGGUUAUAGCAACUCUGCCUGAGAGGUAUGAGGCAAAAAUCUCAUCUAUCGAGGACUCAAGGGACCUAUCCACCAUCUCCCUGACAGAGUUGAUCAAUGCUCUAUAUGCUCAAGAGGAGAGGAGAGUGAGAAGACUGGAGGAGCACCAAGAAGGUGCCUUUCAGGCAAGAACAAAUACUGCCUACAAAGGCAAGAAGGCCUGGAGAGACAAGCCAAAGAAUGAUGCUACAAAGAAAGAAGGUCAGACUUGCAAGCACUGCAGAAAGGCUGGUCAUUUAGAAGAAAAAUGCUGGUUCAAUCCAGAUGCUGUGUGUCAGCAUUGUAAGAAGUAGGGUCAUGUUGAGAGAGUCUGUAAGAGCAAGGCCAAAUCAAGGCACAAUCAGUUUCAACAGAUGAAAGCUGAGGCUCGAGUAGCUAAGGAGGAGUGUGACCAAGAGGAGCAAGUUUUUGCUGUGUCAUGCUCAGCUGCUCAGGAAAGGUCCUCAUCUGGUUGGCUCCUAGACAGUGGAUGCACCAACCACAUGACACCUGAUGCUGCAAUCUUCAAGUCUUUAGACAGAAGCUGCAGAACUAAGGUCAAGAUAGGAAAUGGUCAUUUUAUUCAAGCUGAAGGCAAGGGUGAUGUGCUAAUAUGCACCCUUACAGGUACCAAAGUGAUUUCAAAUGUGCUGUUGGUGCCUGAAAUUGACAGAAACCUGCUCAGCAUAGCUCAGUUGCUGGAAAAAGGUUAUUCAGUUGUGUUUAAAGACCACCAGUGCCAAAUCAGUGAUCCAAGUGGAUCCAAACUGAUGGCAGUCCCCAUGGCUGAUAAGAGCUUUGUGGUUGACUGGACAAAGAAGUCAGACAUUGCCUACACAGCCACUUCAGAUGAAUCCAAGCUGUGGCAUCAAAGACUGGGACAUGCCAACUUCAUAUCGAUGGCCCGAAUGAUCAGAGAAGACCUGGCUGAAAACUUCAUCAACUCAGUGGACCAUGAUGAUGUAUGUGAAGUAUGUCAGCUAGGAAAGCAGGCCAGACUCCCAUUUCCCUCGAAUCAAGCCUGGAGAGCCUCUGAAAAACUCCAACUGGUGCAUACUGAUGUGUGUGGCCCUAUGAAGACUAAGUCAUUAAGUGGAAACAGGUAUUUCAUACUGUUCAUUGAUGAUUUCUCGAGAUAUUGCUGGAUUUACUUCUUAAAACAGAAAUCAGAGGUGGCCACUGUGUUUUGGAAGUUCAAAACUGCUGCUGAGACUGAAACAGGCUGCAAGGUAAAGUCCAUAAGGUCUGAUAAUGGGACUGAGUACACCUCAGCUCAGUUCCAAGCCUUCUGUGAUAAGGCAGGCAUCAAACAUCAACUUACCAACACAUAUACACCUCAGCAGAAUGGGGUAAGUGAAAGGAAGAAUAGGAGUUUGAUGGAUAUGGCCAGGUGCUUGAUGAUUCAGAAGAAUCUGCCUAAAGCACUAUGGGCAGAAGCAGUUAACACUGCAACAUACAUUCAAAAUAGACUUCCAACCAAGGCUUUGGAUCAAAAGACCCCAUUCGAGGCCUGGUUUAGCUUCAAGCCAUCACUGGCUCAUCUGAAGGUCUUUGGAUGCAUCUGUUAUGCACAUGUACCUGCUGUUAAAAGGGACAAAUUGUCUGAAAGGGCUCGACCUGGUGUUUUGGUGGGCUAUAGCACUGUUAAUAAGGGCUAUAGGAUUUUAGAUCCUUCAACAAACAAAGUGUCAGUAAGCAGGGAUGUGGUAUUUGAUGAGAGGUCAUGUUGGAACUGGGAAAGACAUGAACCUGAAGAAGUUUCUGAAGAACUUGCAACAGACCAAGCUGAGCCAGACCAAAAUGUCCCUGAAAUGGAUAUUGAUGAUGAACCAGUCAGAGGAACAAGGCCAUUGGCUGAAAUUUAUGAAAGGGCUCAUGUAGCCAUAGCUGAACCAAACAACUUUGAAGAGGCUGAGGCUCAGCAAGGGUGGAAGCAGGCAAUGGCUGAGGAGAUCAGCAUGAUUGAGAAGAACCAGACCUGGGAAUUGGUUGAAAGGCCAGUCAAAAGGAAGGUGAUUGGGGUGAAAUGGGUGUACAAAGCCAAGCAGAAUGCUGAUGGUACCUUGAACAAGCUGAAAGCAAGGCUAGUUGUCAAGGGGUUCAGUCAGAGGUAUGGCUUGGACUACCUGGAGACCUUUGCACCAGUGGCCAGGCUCGACACCAUCAGACUGCUGAUUGCCUUAGCAGCACAGCUCGAAUGGAAGAUCCAUCAACUUGAUGUGAAAUCAGCCUUUCUGAAUGGUUUCUUAGAUGAAGACAUCUAUGUUGAACAACCACAAGGGUUUGAAAUAGCUGGCAGAGAGCAUAUGGUCUACAAACUGAAGAAGGCCCUAUAUGGAUUAAAACAGGCUCCAAGGGCUUGGUAUAGCAGAAUCGAUGGCUACUUGACUGAUCUGGGAUUCGAUCGAAGCAAGAGUGAGCCAACAAUGUAUGUCAAGAAACAAGGGACACAAAUACAACUCAUUGUGUCCCUGUAUGUUGAUGAUCUUCUGGUGACAGGAGGAGAUCGAGUAGUGCUGGCUGAUUUCAAGACCAAGAUGCAGGAAGUGUUUGAAAUGUCUGAUCUUGGGGAGAUGUCAUACUUUCUUGGAAUGGAAGUGUCUCAAGUACAGAAUGAGAUAUUUCUAAGCCAGAGAAGCUUUGCCACAAAGAUUCUGACCAAGUUCUCCAUGCAAAACAGCAAGGCAACUAAAACACCUGUUGCUGUUGGAGAAAAACUAUCGAGCCAAGGUGAUUUUAAGAAAGUUUGUGAAACAACCUACAGGAGUCUAGUUGGUUGCUUGCUAUACUUGACUGCCACUAGACCAGACAUCAUGUAUGCUGUAGGAUUACUCUCAAGGUUCUUGCAUUGCUGCAAUGAGAAGCAUUUCCAAGCUGCAAAAAGAGUGCUGAGAUAUGUCAAAGGCACUUUAAACUAUGGUUUGAAGUACAGCAAAGAAGGAAAUCUGAAGCUGGUUGGCUACACUGAUAGUGACUGGGCUGGCUCGAUAGAUGACGUGAAAAGCACCUCAGGGUAUGCUUUUAACCUUGGUUCAGCCAUGUUUUGCUGGAGCCCAAAGAAGCAAAGUCUAGUAGCUCAAUCUACUGCUGAAGCAGAGUAUGUGGCAACAGCAAGUGCUGUCAACCAAGCCAUAUGGCUAAGGAAAAUAUUGGCUGACUUGAAUGUGCAUCAAGAGGAAGCUACUGAGAUCUUCUGUGACAACAAAUCUGCAGUAGCAAUUGCUAAAAAUCCAGUGUUCCAUGGAAGAACAAAACAUUUCAGCAUCAAGUUGCAUGUUGUUCGAGAAAUGGAGCAAGCUCAGGAAGUAAAGCUGAUCCACUGUAAUUCAGAGGAUCAACUUGCAGACAUUUUAACCAAAGCCCUUAGUGUCACAAGGUUCGAAUGCCUAAGAAAGAAGCUAGGUGUUUGCUCUAUGCAAACCAAGGAGGAGUGAUGAAGUUGGUUCAGCAUGCAGCAAACUCGACAGCAUGCAGGCCAUGAAGACCAAGUCAUGCAGGAGCUGCUGAUGCAAGCUUAUUUUGUUUAUUUUGUAAUUCCUAGUCAAUGAAAUGUAAUCUUAGUUCAUUUCUAACUAAGUUAGAUUGUUGACUGAUGUAAUUAGCUUAUGUAUGAGCUGUAAACACAACUUUGUGUAAGUUUACAAGCCAAAAUUUCAAGUUUCCAUGUCAUUAGUGGAGGUAGGUGAUGUUUAGGUAAUUACUUACUGUUUUUGACAAGCUUAGUGCCUGUUUUAUGUAUUGGCAUUGUGCCAUUAUGCAUUUUAUGAAUGAAGUUCAGUUUGUUCAUCAAUUUCUCUAUUCAUUUUUCUUAGCUUUUCUUCCUUUCUCUUGCUCGAAUUCUCUUGUUUGCUCAGCAAGUCUCGAGACUUGCUUAACAAGUUUGCACUAAAUCUGUUAGUUUCAGUUACAGCACCAACAGAGAAGUUGCGGAUUCAGAAUUGUGAUUCGUUAGAACAAAUUAUUGAGCUGCAAGGAGUCAUUGCUGAUGAGUCACAGUCAACAUCAGCUGCUCAAUCUAUUAUGGCUGAAACAGAGACGACCAAGUUUGUAUUUCCCAAACUAAUAAACCUCGGAUUGGAUAAGGUGCCGAGAUUGAAAAGUUUCUACUCUAGGAUGCAUACCACCCAGUGGCCUUUAUUGAAACAAAUGGACAUUAUUGAAUGCCCCAAAGUACAGAUAUUUACUCCACAAUGUCCUGAGAGUCAGGUUGGAAUCUCAAACCAACAACCCUUGUUUUGCGUUAGCGAGGUGAGCUCACUAACAGUUUCAUACUCCAUGUUCAUUACUUGAGAUUACCUAUAAAAUGCCUUUUGAAAUAACUAAUAUUCUCACCUUCCUUUUAAAUUUAUGAGAAAGAAAAUGGAAAUUAUAUUCAUUCUGUAGUCUAGUUCUUACUAAUUGAAAACUCUUUGAUCAAUGUUUAAUAUAUUCGUUGCCAUCCAGGACACUUUCCCUGUAUUAGAAGAACUAACACUGAAGACGAAUGAUAUGGUGGAGGGGAUAUGUGAUGGACAACUCUCAUUGCAGUGUUUCCAAAACCUUAAGCAUCUUAACCUCCAGUUCUUUACUGAGACAUCCACUACUCUUCCGUAUUCCUUCAUUCGGUCUCUACCAAUGCUUCAUAAGCUUGUUAUAGACAAUGCUUCCAUUUGUCAAAUAGUACAAUCUGAAGGACUCAGCGACCAGGAAAGGCAUACAUCAGCAUUCUAUCAGCUAAAGGAAUUAAGUUUGUCUCAUCUUCCAGAGUUGACGUUAAAGACUUUUGAACCAUCUUUGCUGUCUUUCAAUAAUCUAACAACACUGGAAGUUUCAAGAUGCCAUGGGUUCAUCAAUUUAAUCGUAUGCUCAACAGCUAAGUGCCUGACGCUACUGGAAAGAUUGAGCAUAGAUGAUUGUGAGAUGAUAGAGGAAAUUAUAGCGUGUGAGGCUGAAGAAAUACAAGGCGGCAUUGUAUUUCCCAAACUGAAGUAUUUGCAACUAAGCUGUCUGCCACGUCUAGCAAGCUUUUCCUUGGCCCAUCACUCGUUGGAAUUCCCAGUCUUGCUAAUGGUGAAGGUGACAAAGUGUCCCAAAAUGAGGAAUUUCUUCCAAGGAGAUUUAAGCACACCAAGGCUGGAACAAAUGCACUUAACAAGAGAUGAGGAACGUGAACUACAGUGGGAAGGCGACCUUAACACUACCAUAAAACAUAUGUUCGAUGAAAUGGUACAAAUCAUUUAAAGGAUUUAAAUUCAUGUGUUUUUACAUACAUACAUAGUUAACUAAAUAAUUCUUGGUUUGUUAUGAUCAUGCACAGAAUGUGCAAAAUUCUGAGGUGACUGAGGUUACUGAUCGGUUGCCCAAGCUGGAAUAAGGAAAUAUGUUUGGGUGCUUAUGCGAAAAGCUCAAUUUCGUUUCAAACCAAAACGAAUGGUAAUUGACCCUUCUAUUUUCAUCAUGGCUUAACUAAAGAUUUAUAAAGUGACCAUAGAGACGCCCUUUUCAUUGUAGGUUGAGUUGCUCUACUGAAGCACAUGGCUGCAUCUGUUGGUAGAACGUGAAAGGUUAUUUCAGUUUUUGUAAAACUACUAUUUGAACUGUUCCAUUUCGCAUUAUAACCUCACAAUUGUAUUUCAAGUGCAUCAUGCAUGGCAUUGGGAACUACAAACAUGUAAACUUUUACUAGUAAGCAAAAUAAAUAAAAAAAUCAUAAAUUAGAGUAUGAAAGUAAACAUAUUAAAGCAUACUUUUUGGUUUCAGAAUUUAAAUGAUUUGAGUUAAUUUGAAGCCAUAAAAAAAGAUAAAUUCAAUUAUAAAUUCUGAUAUUUGAAAAUUUUACAAUAAUAAUAAAUAAAUGCUUAAUGAAAUAAUUAAGAUUAUAAGGCAACAAGCUUAAUUAAGAGGGGUAUUUGUAAAUAUUAGUAAAAUUUACGGUAAAUAUUAUAUGAAAUAAGCAAAUUUAUGUUAUUAAUUAACCAAAUAGUUGUUUUUGGGUAAAAAAAAUGUAGUAAUAUGUUACAAUUUUUAGGGUGUUAAAUUAAUAUGAUUUGUCUUGAUUAAAUGUAUUAAAUUUAAUGUAACUAUUUUGAAUUUUAUUUCGGGAAUUGAAUUGAUCCGCAAAUCAAUAUAUUAAAAAAAUAAUAUUUUAAAUUUGGGAAGGUUUACUAGUAAUAAUGCUAUCUAUCUAUUGAUAAAAAUAUAUUAUAAUCAAAAUAAUAUUUUCAUGGUAAGCUUAGCUAUCCUUUACCGUCAACAUCCUUUAUGGGUUGCUUAGAGUAUUAUAUAUAGAUGAAGCUUUAGUUCAACACUGAUCUUAAUUUAAUAUUUUGAUUUUACAUAUUGACAGAUUAAAAUUCUUUUUGAAGUUUUAUAAGUCAGAAAUUUUUUUAUUUUGAAUAGUCAACUUACAUUUUAAUUCAUUUAGGGUGAGUUUGGAUGGGCGGUGUAUUUACCUGCGGUUAGUGUAAAAACAACGGUGGCGGUGAGAUUAGAUACUGUAGUGAUACUGUAGCGUGAGACAAAAAGUAUGCUAAACACACCACACCGCACCCAAUCGCCCAUCCAAACCUACUCUUAGUAUGUUUAAUCACUUUAGGUACAAAUAUAUUUCGUGUACCAAUCUAAUCAUGCACUAUAAUAGCUAAUUUUAAUUAUAACUUGAUGGUUGGUGGUUGUUGUUGGAUUUGGUGAACUCUCAAGUGCUCGAGUCUGUUGAUCUAAAGGUUGUGGCCUUUCAUCUUUAAUUUCAGGGUCAGCAAAGGUUUGAGAAGGUUGCUAGUCAUCCUAAUUCCAAGUGUUCUCCCCAUCAAAAAUUACGUCUUGGGUAAUCACAAUUUCUUCGUUAAAGGAUUAAACAGUUUAUAUGCUUUAGAUGUUUCACUUGCACCUAGAAAGACACACUUUUCUCCCUUGUUAUCAAGCUUCUUUCUCUUUGCAUCUGGAAUACGUGCAUAAGCAAUGUAACCAAAAAUUUUGAAGUGAUCUACCGUUGGUGGUCUCCUUCGACACCAAGCUUCUUCAGGUGUCAUGUUUUGAACAACAAAAGUUGGGCUUCUGUUCAAAACAUGGAUGCUCCAAUUUACUACUUCUAGCCAAAAUCGUUUUGGGACCCUUCCACCAGAAAGCAUGCUCCUCACCAUAUUAAGUAUGGUUAUGUUUUUCCUCUUUGAUACGCCAUUUUGUUGGGGGGUAUAUGCAGUAGUAAGCUCUUUUCGAAUGCCAUGACUCUCACGAAAUGCUUCAAAUUCCUUGGAGCAAUAUUCUCCUCCACAUUAAGUGCAAAGAGCUUGAAUGGUUUUCCCGAUUUCAUUCUCAACAAAUGCCUUGAAGCUAGUAAAUGCACUAAAUGCUUCUAAUUUCUCCUGUAAGAACUAAACUCAUGUUUUCCGAGAAUAAUCAUGAAUGAAAGUAAGGAAAUAUUUUUUUUACCUCCAUUAGAUGAUGGUUUUAUUGGCCCUUAGAUAUUUGAAUGAACCAAUUCCAGCCACGUUUUGCUCUCAAAGACUUUCCUUUGGGAAAUUGUUCACGAUUUUGUUUGCUAACAACACAAUCUUCACACACAUGGGAAAGAAUGACAAUCUGAGGAAGGUCGCUGACCAUUUCUUUCUGUCUAAGAGUCUUCAAACCCCCAAAAUUAAGAUGACCAUAGUGGAAAUGACAAAACCACGAGUCAACCUUCACUUUAGCCAUCAAGCAAGGUUUUAAAAUAUCUUUGCUUCUUCCCAAAGGUCUCAAAGCAUGUUAUGGAGUUUGAGUCUGAUUCAAUGGUUGCGUUAUGUGGCUUGGCUGUAGUUUAUUGCACCUUUGUACUUCUUUCUUUUAUGAAUAAAAUCAAUGCUUAUUAGAAAAAAAGAAAACAAAAACAAAUAGUAGAUAGCAACAAACAAAGAAAAAAAAACCUUAUGCCCCACUAACAUUUUUUUUGUACGUUUAGUCAAAAUGAAUAUAAUUAAAAAUAUUAAAUAGAUGCCAAUUGAGUUUUAGUGUAGUUGGUAUUGGUAUUAUUAACUUUGCUUAGUCCAUAUCCCCAUAAUAUGCGAUGGUCAUAUGUGACUUUUAAUCCAUUUAAUCUAAUUUGUUGGCUUUAGUACUGAUUGUACUGACUUUUAUUCUUGUUGUGGUCUAAUGAUUUGAUUCUAUUUUGUAAUUCCUUAUAUCAUUCGUGUUGUAAUAGUUUGAUACUUGUAACAAACAAAUACAAUUUAAAAAAUGGCUAGUAUUUGGUACACUGUUAGAAUAUUAUUAUGAGAUAUUAUCUUUUUGGAAUAUCUAAAUAUAUUGUAUAUUAUUAUAUAUCUUUUAAGCAUAUAUUUAGGAAUAUAUUAUCUAUCUUUCCUAUUUCUACAUGACUAUUGUUAUAUAAAUAUUAUGUAUAUUCUUGAAGCUUAUCAAUAAGAUUGAAAUGAAUUACCCUAUUCUUGUCAUGGUAUCUAAGCUUGGUGUUUAACACAAAAAAAGAGAAAAAUUUAAUCGUUUUCAAUGGCUGGUAGUGAUUCUACUUCUCCACCACCAGGGGCAAGAUAAUCAUCAGGGGAAGGGCGACACUUCUUGGUUUUACUGCUGAGCAAUGACAAUCUCUUCUGGUGGUGUUUGGUAAUACACAAUCCACUACCAAUCAGUUGAAUGGACAUUCAUUUUGAGGGGGUUGAUUAGAGCGGGUGAGAGACGAGAUGGACUUUAUUACUCUGUUGGUUAAUAAGAAUGAAGUUUUCAAGCAGGGGAGAAGGUAGAAAAUUUUUCUAAGAGGGUCGAAAUUAAAUUGUAAUUUUUAAUAGUCUAUAUUUUUAUAAUUUUUAAAGGAUUAAAUCAAAUAUUAUCAUUUUAAGGGGACUAAAGUGUAAUUUUACCUUUACUAAUUUAAAAUGUUAAAAUUUCUAAAGAGCCUAAAUGGAUGAUUUUCCAUUUUAGGGGGAUUGGGGCCUUUGCCAACCCUUUAGAUCCGCCACAGUUUUCAAGAUUUUCAUGUCAUUUAUUACUAUGAUUCAUCGUCAUUUUUCUUAAUUAAUAGAUAAAGUUUGUUAGAAGUGAUAAUGAGACUGAAUUUAAUUGCCUUCGAGAUUAUUUUCUUACAAAUGACAUUAUUUUUUCAAACAUCUUAUGUUGGUACUCCUCAAAAAAAUGGGAGAGCGAAGAGGAAACAUCAACAAAUUUUAAACGUGGCUCGUGUUUUGCGUUUUCAAGGUAAUCUGUCUACAUUGUUUUUGGGGAGUGUGUUUUGCUGCAUAUAUUUAGGAAUAUAUUAUAUAUCUUUCCUAUUCCUACAUGACUACUGUUGUAUAAAUAUUAUGUAUAUUCUUGAAGCUUAUCAAUGAGAAUGAAAGGAAUUACCCUAUUCUUGUCAUGGUAUCUAAGCUUGGUGUUUAACACAAAACAAGAGAAAAAUUUAAUCGUUUUCAAUGGCUGGUAGUGAUUCUACUUCUCCACCACCAGGGGCAAGAUAAUCAUCAGGGGGAGGGCGACACUUCUUGGUUUUACCGCUGAGCAAUGACAAUUUCUUUUGGUGGCGUUUGGUAAUACAUAAUCCACUACCAAUCGGUUGAAUGGACAUUCAUUUCGAGGGAGUUGAUUAGAGCGGAUGAGAGACGAGAUGAACUUUAUUACUUCCGGCAAGUAUCAAUGGUCAAAGUGGUUUCGAUUAAAGCUUUAUCCUCUUUGGAACUUUGGCAUAGAAGAUUGGGUCACCCUUCCGAGAAAGUAGUAAAGUUAUUUCCUUACGUUAGUAACUCUAGAGAUUAUUUGAAUAAAGCAUGCAAAAUUUGACAUCGUGUUAAACAAACAAAAAAUAGUUUUCCAGUUAAUGAACAGAAAGCCACAUGUAUUCUUGAGUUAGUUUAUUGUGAUUUAUGGGGUUUUUAUGAUACUCUUUCAUAUUGUGGAUCUCAUUAUUCUUUUACAUUGGUUGAUGAUUUCUCUUGUGCUAUUUGGGUAUAUCUAUUGGUUAAUAAGAAUGAGGUUUUCAAGCAGGGGCGAAGGUAGAAAAUUUUUCUAGGAGGGUCGAAAUUAAAUUGUAAUUUUUAAUAGUGUAUAUCUUUACAAUUUUUAAAGGAUUAAAUCAAAUAUUAUCAUUUUUAAGGGGACUAAAUUGUAAUUUUACCUUUAUUAAUUUAAAUUUUUAAAAUUUCUAAAGAGCCUAAAUGGAUGAUUUUUCAUUUUAAGGGGCUGGGCCUUUGCUAGCCCCUUAGAUCUGCCACAAUUUUCAAGAUUUUCAUGUCAUUUAUUACUAUAAUUCAUCGUCAAUUUUAUGAAUAGAUAAAGUUUGUUAGAAGUGAUAAUGAGACUGAAUUUAAUUGCCUCCAAGAUUAUUUUCUUACAUAUGACAUUAUUUUUUCAAACAUCUUAUGUUGGUACACCUCAACAAAAUGGGAGAGUAGAGAGGAAACAUCAACAAAUUUUAAACGUGGCUAGUGUUGUGCAUUUUCAAGGAAAUCCGUCUAUAUUGCUUUUGGAGAGUGUGUUUUGCUACUUUUUAUCUUAUUGAUUGAACUCUUUCACCUCUUCUUCAUCAUAAAACACCCUAUGAAAUGUUGUUUGGUAGACUUCCUUUAAUUGAUGAUUUUUGUGUGUUUGGUUGCUUAUGUUUUGUUCAUAAUUAACAUUCUAAAGGUGAUAAGUUCAAUAGUCAGAGUAAAAAAGUAUGUUUUUGUUAGCUAUCAUUUUGUCAAAAAUAAAUAAAAUAUAUUUUAAGCUAUCAUUUUGUCAAAAAUAAAUAAAAUAUAUUUUAAUAUAAGACAUUUUGGGACUGUUGGCAUGUCAUUUCUGAGUUGUUUCCACGAAAUGCAAUCGAUACAUAAAUUAAUCAUUUUGUCAAAGAUGAUAUCUAAACCUUGAAAACAUUUCCUUAUUUCUUGUCUGUUUCUACUUUGGUGGUGAUGUGCUUUGUUUGAUUCUAACUACUCCAUUAAAUAAAUCAUCCAAAAACAUAUAUUAUAUGAGGAAUAGGUGGUUGAAGAAAGAGAAAGCAAAAAUAAUAAUAAAAGAAGGAAAUUAAUUAGGAAAAUGACGUUAUAUGAAAACACUCAUACAAUUGGAUAACUCACUCACUCGACCUUUAAGAGGAGAAAAAGAAAAACCUUGUUUAUGUAAUACAUGGAUACCUAAUAAUUCAUUUAUUUAAUAACUUAUUUAUACUUUGGUAUAAGACAUUUUGGGUUGUCAUUUCUGUGCUGUUUCCAUGAAAUACAAUCCAAACUUCCUUUCCUACUUUUAAAGUAAGUAAGAAGUCGUCUUUCUCAGUUUACUACUUUCUGGCUUUGCUCUGCUAAGAAGAAAAAAACAGAAGGGGGAAAACUAUCGGUUAUUGAUCAUAGCCAAAAGGUACGCCAUCUGCUUUUCCUUUCCCUGCUUUGCUCUUACUCUUUUGAAAUAAGCUUAGGCAGGCAGGUUUAACCAUGAGAAUAGACUUCUUUUAUGCUUUAAAUCUCUAAAAAGCUCUUUAAAAUUCGUAGAAAAAAAGGGGUGAGUAUUAGGAAAGCUGCAUAAGCAUUUGUGUUUGGGAUGUACCAACAACUUGUUGCUUCAUGGUUAUUCAGAGGUUGGGUGAUUUAUCUUGUAGUCGACCACCUUUUUUUUAUUCGAUGCUUUAUUUCCAUUCAAAACUAUAUGUGGUUGGAAAGCUGGUUUGAUAGUCCACUAAAAUUAUAUGAAAAAUCAUUUAAAAAACAGAUUAAAUAUAUAAUUUUUAUAUAUUUAAAAGUGUUUGUUUAUAUAUUAUUUAGAAAUUGCUUUUAUAACAUAAUUAUUAUUUUACUAUUUUAAAUUUUGAAAUUUCAAUAUUUAAAAAUUUAACUAAUUUAAAAAAUGUGCAGCGAACUAAAAAAAACAUUAAUAAACAAAAAAAUUAGCAUAUAUAAAAAUUUAAAAUAGGAUUUGAAAUAUAUUGUUAAUAUUUUCAAUCUAAAUUUUAAAAUAUUUAAAUUAUGAAAAUAUGUUGAUUUAAAAUUAUUAUAGAACUUAUAUUCCAAAAAAAACCAUUAUAAAAAGUAUUUAUUCAAGAAAAAACUUUUUGUUUUGGCCUAUUUAUAUAGUAUUAUAAAAUGUCGAUUUUAAAAAAUUAUUAAAAAGUAAUACUAAAUAACUAAUUUAUAUAUAAAGAAAUUAUAGUUUCUUAAAAUCUGAAUUAAAAUGCUUUAAACUAAAACUAAAACUAAAACCAAAAUUUUCUUGUAUUGUAAAAUUAUUGUUAGAAAUUUUUAGUAUAACAAAAAGAUAUUAUUGAUAUUAGUCACUUAAAAACUAAAACAGUUUUAUAGACUUUAGUAAUUAUUUAUAUGAUUAAUAUUUUAACGAUUUAACCGUUUAAUUUAUCAAUAUAAUUGUACUUGUAAUGCAUGUAAAUUUUCGAACCGAUUCGAUAUCUCUAUCGUAUCGAUCUAAAAUACUCUAUAUACUAAUAUAUAAUCAACGAUUGAAAUUUUUUUACAAAACGAAUAUAGUUAGAAGUUUUAAAUUUACAUUAAAUUUGACAUGUAUAAUCUGCAUGAAUAGACUAUAAAAUAUAACAGUUGGAUCGUUAAAAUAUUAAUUAUAUAAAUAGUUAGGUAAGUGUGUAAAAUUCCUUUAGCUUUUACAUAUAUAUAAGUGGAUCCUUCUCCUUAAUGUUAAUAAAUGUUAAUUUUGUUAUCACAUAAUAUUUUAAUUAUGAAUUAAUAUUAAAAAUAAAUAAUAAAAAAAAUAUAAAUAUAAAUAGGGCGAGUAUUUGGUACACUGACAAUGUACUUUUUUUAUUCCACGAGUAAUCUUAAAAAAUUGACAUAUUUCUCUCUUUUUUAAAUAUGUUACGACACUCUUAUAAGAUAUUUGUCAACCUCCUGACCCUACUUGUAGAGUCUAAAACCUCCACUUACUAAAUAAUUUCCACAAUUUAUUAUUAAUGUUUAUUAGACAAAACACGUUAGCGAACAAAAUAAAUAAAUUAUAAAUAAAUACAUAUGAAAUAAAAUAUAAAUAGAAUGAUUUAUAAUUAAUUUAUUAAAUAUGAAUCAAAUAAAAACAUAAGAAAAAGUUGAAAUAAAGAAGAAUUGAGAUUUUACGAAACGUUGAGGCCUUUGAAACACAGUUUCCUUAAAACAUAUUCGGCCGCUCCUACAGUACUUGGAGAAAUGUUAGUCGAAAUUCUCCCAGGAUACAACAACAAAAGUAAUCAAAGUAGUAGUACAUCUACAACAAUCAACGAACAAAUUUUGUUUUUUUUAUCACCGAUAUGUAUGAAAAAUGGAGAGAAAAAGGAAGAGUUUUGAAAUGAACAGAAUUUCAUUUGAAUAUGUGUUUAAUCCUUUAGAAUACACAGCCUUUUCUAGGCAUUUAGGAUAAGGAGCCAAAAAUCAAUUUGAUUUAAAAAUUAAAUCAAAUUAGAUACUGUCCAUAUAUAAGCAGAUUAUGUCUGCUGAGGAAAAAUAAAUUCGUGUUGAGCUUAAAAUAUUCACAUGGGCCAAACCAGUUUGAACAUUUUGUGUCACCCACGUCAUACAAGUGCGCCCAACCCAAUCAGAUUUAGACCUACACCACCCCUACGCAUGAGACAAGGUUGCAAGCAUAGUUAUUCAAUUAAUUUUAGAGAGAGUUUACAUAUAAAAGCACAUCUCACACUUGAUAUUUAACCAAUGUAGGAUCUAAGCCUUUACUUUUUCUCAACAAUAUUUUCAAGUAGCUUACUUUAAGCAUCAAUUUCUCAUUCACCACUAAACCAUUUUGAGCAUAUGAUAUACCAUUGUAAAAGUCUCAUGGGGUAGAAUAUGAAACCAUAAAAUUAUGAUUCAACUCUCCACUUUUACCUAUUAAGAAUAUGCCUCAAAGUUCCCAUAAAAGUAAUUUUUCAGACAAUGUUUUUAGACUCCAUCAGUAAAGUCAAGGGAUUAACAAGUGUCCUAUAGAAAUAUAGUAAAAUAUCAAAAAAUUAAAUAUUUUAAAAAAGAGACACAUAUAAGUUUUUUAAAACGACUUGUGGAGUAAAUAAAAUAUUGUUAGUAUACCAAAUAAUCACCCAUAAAUUAUUGCUUUAAUCAAAAUAUAAGAACUAGGUAUAAUUUUGAAUUAGUUUAAAUUAAUUUAAAAGAAAUUUAAUUUAAUGAUAAAAAAAUUAUAUUUCAAAAUAAUUAGAAAGAUUUUAUUUUUUGAAUAAUAAUUAAAAACAAAUUUUUAAAAGAUGUGUUGUAAAAAUAUUCAAAGUGUAAAAAGACAAUUUAUUCCUUCAAUGCUUAGCAAAAAAUAUUCCUUAAAAAAAGAUAAUUAUUAGAAAAUAUCAUUAGAUAUAUGUCUAUAUUAAUAAAAAGUUAUCUAUUAACAAAAUCACUUUAAUUGUCAUAAAACUAAAACAUUAAUCACAUAUUUAUAAUUUUAAAAUUUUAACUCUUCAAUGGUAGUUAAGAUUAUGCAAAUGAGUUCUUUUUAAAAAAUAUAUAAGAUAAUUCAAGUUUUGGUCUUUGUUAUCGCUGUGGUUAUUCAGUUUGCUCUCUCAAUGGAGUGUGUUAUUGCCAUCGUUGGUUCUAUUGUCGCUAAAGCUGUAGAGUAUACGAUCUCUCCUAUCAAAAACCAUGUCAAAUACCUUUCCAAUCAUCAGAAAUAUGUUGAGACCCUCAAGAACCGAGCUAAUAGGCUAAAAGAUGCAAGGGACGGAGUGCAGCAUUCUGUUGAUGCAGCUAAGCGAAACGGUGAAGAGAUCGAAGGUGAUGUUGACAAAUGGCUGUCUGCAGUCGACAAAAAGAUCCUUGAACAAGUAGAGAAAGUGAUGCAAGAUGAAGAAAAAGCAAAUAAAAAGUGUUUCAUUGGUUUGUGUCCUAAUUUCAGGACUCGUUACAAGCUUAGCCUGAAAGCUGAAAAGGAGGCAAAGGCUGUUGCCGAGCUACUUGAACAUGGAAACUUUGAAAGGGUUUCCUAUCGUGCAGCUCCGAAAGGUAUCGUGGUUGCACCAGUUAAAGGUUAUGAGGAAUUCGAGUCAAGAACGUCGAUUCUGAACGGAAUAAUGGAGGCACUAAAAGAUGAUAGCGUCAGCGUUGUUGGGGUGCAUGGUAUGGGUGGGAUUGGAAAAACAACGCUGGUCAAAGAAAUCGCUAGAAAGGUCAAGGGCAAGUUGUUUGAUUCGGUUGUCAUAGCAACCGUAACUCAAGCCAUCGAUAUUGAGAAGAUUCAGAACCAAAUUGCAGACUUCUUGGGCUUGAAAUUUGAGGAACAGAGUAUGGUUGGAAAGGCAUUUCGACUACGAGAAAGAUUGAAGAAAGAGGAGAGGAUUCUGGUUGUCUUGGAUGACAUUUGGGAAAAGGUUGAUAUUGAGGAAGUAGGGAUUCCUUUGGGAGAUGAACACAAGGGCUGCAAAUUACUAUUAACUUCUAGAGAGCUCAAUGUUUUAUCAAAUGGGAUGGAUGCUCAGAAAAAUUUUCCCAUUGGGUUUUUAAAUGAAAAGGAAGCCUGGGACCUGUUCAAGAAGAAGGCUGGCGACUGUGAUGAAAGUUGCGGUUUGAAGCCUAUAGCUAUGGAGGUAGCCAAAAAAUGUGCAGGACUGCCGAUAGCCAUUGCGACAGUUGCAGGGGCUUUGAGAAACAAAAGAUUGUUUGAAUGGAAGAAUGCUUUACGAGAACUGGAGAGGCCUUCGUCAAGCAACUUCACGGGGAUAGCUGUGGCAUAUUCAGCUAUAGAGUGGAGUUUUAAUUAUUUAGAAAGCGAGGAAGUUAAGCUGACUUUCUUGCUUUGCUGUGUAAUAGGCCAUAAUGGUCUCGUUGAGAACUUGGCAAGAUAUACUUUAGGUUUGGGUUUAUUUGAUGGUGUCCACACUAUGGAAGAAGCUAGAAAUAAAGUAUUGACGGUUGUGGCUAAUCUCAAAGCGUCUGCCUUGUUGCUUGAUGGUUAUAAUGAUAAGCGCUUUGAUAUCCAUGAUGUUGUUUGGGAUGCUGCUAUAGCUAUUGCAUUGAAGGACUACCGUAUGCUUGUUUUGAGAGAUCAUGCUCCAAAGGAGUGGUCCGAUAAGGAGAAAAUGAAGAUGUGGAGUGUGAUCAGCUUACGGUGUCCUCAGAUUAUAGCUAACCUUCCUAAGGAGAUGGAGUGUUCAGGACUUUCCUUUUUCCAUAUGGCCUAUGAUGGCGCGGUUAAAAUUCCUCUCACUUUUUUCAAACAAACCGAAGGCCUCAAAGCCUUGGAUUUGGUCGGAAUGCAGUUUCCAUCCCUCCCUGAAUCAAUUAUUCACCUUGCAGACCUUCGCAUGUUGUGUCUGAAAAAAUGUGCAGUUGAUAACAUAACUAUCCUUGGAGAGCUCAAGAGUUUACAAGUACUCAACCUUUCUCAGUCAGGUAUCAAAGAACUACCUAAGGAGAUGGCACAAUUGACUCAAUUAAGGUUGUUAGAUUUGCGCUCGUGUAGAGAACUCAAAAUCAUCCCGCCGAAUGUCUUAUCAGGUUUGUCUAAAUUAGAAGAAUUAUAUAUGAGUGGGAGCUUUGUUGAAUGGGAAAAGGGAGGAGUAGUUGAAAAUGAGAGGAAAAAUGCAAGCCUUGAUGAAUUAAACAAUUUGCCUUGUCUAACUACUUUAUAUGUUCAUAUUCUUGAUGUCCAAAUGAUACCAAAACACCGGUUUGUUGAAACAUUGGACAGAUUCAGGAUUUUCGUAGGUAAUUAUGGUGAAUAUAAUUGUUUCCACAAUUAUGAAAUAUCUCCGAAAGCAUUGAAGCUCAUGUUAUAUAUAAACAAUGAAUUGGACAAUGGGAUGAAAAUGUUGUUGAUAAAGACAGAAGAUUUGUGCCUAGAGGGACUUGAAGGCGUCAAGAAUGUACUUGUGGAGUUAAAUAAUGGGAAAGAUCUUCCAAAUUUAAAGAGACUUCAUGUCAAAAAUGGUAGGCAUGUCCAACAUAUUAAAACGAACAAAAUUGGAUUUUCUGAAUUAUGCUUUAUCACACUUGAAAAUCUACCGCAACUCGUUAGCUUUUGCUCUCCAGACGAAAGGUGUUCUACUAAGCCCUUUCUACUUUUCAAUAAACAGGUAUUUGUUUGGCUUUACUUAUAUUUUCUUAUACAACUUUUAUUCCCAUUAAUACAACUUUUAUUCCCAUUAUAUUUUUGGAGCUCAAAAAUAAAUUUCAAAUCCAAAACAAAUGAAAAUUUAAUUUUUAAUCUAAACCGAUUGAAAGUAUAAAGUCAAUUCAAUAAUCUAAAUUUAAACCCAACAAAGAUUUUUUUUUUAAUUUUGAAAAUGAAAUUUGAACCCACAAAUCGAACUAAAAUUAUCUUUAAAAUCGAAAAUCAUAUUUUCAAAUUAUGUUUCCCUAUCGAAAAAGAAUUGUGUGUAAAUAUGUGCAAUUUAUUUUCCCUCACUUGGAAAGCUUGCAAUUGUGUUCCAUUAACACCAAAAUAAUAUGGCACAACCAGAUAUGUCAUUGGAUUACGAAUUUGAGGAGCUUGAUCAUCAAAGGAUGCGGCAAGUUGGAGCAUCUGUUAUCACCCUCUCUCGCUAGAAGUCUGGUGCAGCUCCAAUGCUUUAAGAUAGAGGAUUGCAAGUGCUUAAGGGACAUAAUACUUACAGAUGAAAUUGAAGAAGAAAGGAAAGAUGUGAUUUGUUUCCCUCGAUUAAACUCCCUGUAUAUAGAUGGUCUUACAAACCUCAUCUUCUUCAGCUCAGGAAACCACAAUAUUGAGUUCCCAUUGUUGAAAGAGCUAACGAUUUGGCGUUGCCCCAAGUUAAUAGAAUUCAUUAGUCAGAAUAGUAAUCAGUCCGGCAUGCACGCUCUCUUCAGUGAGAAGGUGAUUUAUUUCAUUAGUCUUACACUCUUGCAUAAAUCUGUUGAUUUGUCCUUGUUUUUUUUUCUGCCUUCAUUAUUUGAGCUAAUUAACCUUAUUAUGGGCAUGGAUUAUAUAUAUAUGAAUAGGUUGCAAUUCCUAGCUUGGAAGACAUGAGUAUCUUCGACUUGAGUAAUCUGAAGAUGAUAUUUUAUAAUGACCUAGCAGCAGGUUCCUUUAAAAAUCUUCGAAAAGUGUGUGUUUGGCGAUGUGAGAGUUUGAAAAAUCUAUUUCCAGUAUCAAUAGCCAAAGAUCUUCCACAACUUGAACAUUUACGCAUCACUGAUUGUGGAGUUGAGGAGAUUGUAUCGAAAGCGGAUGGAGUGGAGGAGCAGCCUGUGAGGUUUGAGUUUCCGCAAGUAUCUUACCUUGAGGUUGCAUUGGUAGAAAAGCUCAAAUGUUUCUAUGAACGGCAACAUACAAUAGUCUGGCCGAUGUUGAAAAAAUUGAAAACAGAUAGUUCUGCUUUGCGAAAGAUAGUGGCAUCGGAACAUCUUAGAUUAAUCCAAGGAAAUGAGCAGCCAGUUUUGUUGGGUGAAGAGGUAUGUAUAUCAUUACAACUAUAUUUCUUUUUAUGAUUUAAACCACUGCAACAAGCAUCUCAAGUUGAAAUAUGCCACGAUAAUACAUUUCUAAUUAUUAUAUUUUGUUUGAUUUGAAUUUUUUCUUGUAUUUUUGAAUUUUUAAUAUAUAUUUUAAAUUUUUUGUUACACUUAUAAUUAUUUUUUCAAUUUUUAAAAACAAGACUGAAUAAACAUAAUAGGUAAAUAUUGAGUGUUAAUCUUGACUUUUUAGAAUGUAGUUCAAUUUGAUAAAAUGUAUAAAUGUUGAGGGUUAAAUUUAUUAUUAUGCGAAAAAAAAUGCAACAUUAGCAUCCCGUUAGGGACUUUGUAGCAUAGCAAUUAAGAUAUUCAAUUUCUCUAACGACAGUGAUUAAAUUGAAAUUUUAUUUGUUUUUAUGUGACCAUAAUAAAAAUAUUUUAACACUUAAGUGGCUAUAUAUGUAAUUUACCCUGUAUUUAAGUAGUGGGUCGAAACUAAAUAGAAAGUUUACCUUGCUAAAAAAAAUCGCCACUCAAUAAAAAGUCAAAAUUUUAAAAGUUAAUUACACUAGACAUAUCAAACUAUAACCUUCAUUUUAAAUUAGUCCCAAAAUUUAAAAUAUUCAAAUUACAUUCUUAAACUAUUGAGGUUAUAUCAAUUAGGUCUUUCUGUUAUUUAAUUCAUUAAUUUAACCAUCAAAUUAUAUUAGUGUAAUAUUUUAAAAUCUUGGUGUUUUAUCUACACUGUUCUGCUUAUAUUUUUUAUCAUAGAAAUAUAUAUAUAUAUAACAAUGGUUGUUUCUCUAUUGUAAUCUAAAUUUGCUACUCUUCUUUCGGUUUUCAUGUUGUGUAAUUUUUAUCGGUUCUUAUUCUCAAGGUAUUGUGUUUUCUUAAAACAAAAAAUUCAUCUGGUUUGAUUUAAUAUUGAUUUUGUUGGGAUUUAAUCAUCAUAAUCAAACACUAAAAUUGUAACUCUUUUGUUUGUUUGUUUGUUUUUUUAAAGCAUAUACAUCAAUAUUGAGCCUAACUUGUAUAUAUUUAAUUGGUUUCCAAGGUCAUUCCCAAAUUAGAGGAACUUGAGUUACGAACUUUUGGUGAUAUGGACCAAUUCCCACCAGACUUGUUUCAACAUAUUAAAGUUUUUGCACUGAGAGCUGGCUCUCGAUUUUCUUUAUUUCCUUUCGUCCGAAGAUUCUACAAUCUGGAAAGACUUGAGUUGUCUUAUUUUGAUUUCAAACAUUUAGUCCCUUGUAAAGGAGAUGCCGGGACUCUCCCACCAAUUAGAAAUCUGAAAUUGGUUUCUGCCAGAAAUCUUAAGCAUAUUUGGAGGAAAGAUUCGGAGCUUGACCAUAUUCUUUCUAAUCUUCAAACACUCACAGUUCAGAAUUGUGAUGAUUGGAUAAAUAUUAGAGCCUUCUCAUCGUCUUUACAAAAUCUCACAAUUUUGAAUGUGUCACGUUGUGAAAUGAUGACAAACUUAGUUACACCCUCAGUACUUAAGAAUCUUGUGCAAUUAACGACAAUAAAGGUAGAAGACUGCACUAAAAUGACAGAAAUAGUGGGAAACGAGGGAGACUGUCAUCAGACAAUAGUUGUUAGUAAAUUGAAAUGUUUACAACUAUGCAAUUUGAAUAGCCUCACAAGCUUUUGUCCAUGGUAUUACAACUUCGAGUUUCCUUGUUUGGAAGAAUUAGUUGUGGAACAUUGUCCUAGGUUAAAGAUCUUUUCUGAUGGAGUUUUAAGCACCCCACAAUUACAGAGAAUAAAACAGUCGCGUUUCCGUGGGAAAUGGAGGUGGACAAGUGACCUUAAUACCACCAUACAACAGCUCUACACAAAAAAGGUACAAAGUUAAUAAGUUCAUAAUGCUAGCUAGAUUUCUCGUGUCCUAAUACAAUUAAUUUUAUUGCUACUUCAAUAACCAUUGAAGAGUGUUAAUCGUUAUUUUGUUAUUGUCUGCAGUUUCUAUUUAUGAUCCUUAUCUAGUGGAAUAAUAUCAGAUUAAUUUUUAGGAUGGACUCCAUGACCCAUAUGAUUUCAACAUCUCUGAAACAUUUCCGGAAUCGAUAGAAAUAUGGACUAGAAACCCUCAAGAAAUUUUGGGCUUCAAAAACCUUAGCAGCCUGCAGUUUUAUAAAUGUAGCAGCCUGAAGUACAUAUUUACUCCGUCUAUGCUUUUGAGCCUCAAUCGACUACAAAGGAUAGAAGUGGAAGAAUGCAGUUCAAUGGAACAAGUAGUUAGGGAGGAGGAGGAAGCAAUGACACAUAAAUUUACAUUUCUUUCGCUACUCUCCUUAAAAAUUGAGUCGUGUUCCAACUUGACAAAUUUCCAUUUGGGAAGUCAAGCUCUUGAAUUUCCACAGCUGAGUGAUAUCACGAUAGCUGAGUGUCCAAAAAUGACUGCAUUUUCUUCCUCAGUUUCAAGAGAAAGUGGUGAUGCAAGUGAAAACGUGGUUGGCAAAGGGGGCAUCUAUGAUAACACUGCAACUUUUUUCAGCAAUAAGGUAAGUUCGGUAUUCAAUAUUUAUCUGCACAACUCAUUUCACAUUUUCUUUUGAUUUGAUCAACAUGAGUGUGUCUGGUCUAUAUAUACAUACUAGUAGUGCUACACCUUGUCAAAAUUUAAUAUAAUAAAAUCCAUGUAUUAAUAAAUAAGAUAAUAUUUAAAAAAAAUUGGAGUUUAAAGUAUAAAUAAAUAUAUAAAAUACGAAUUGAAAGGAAAACUUAAAGUGAAAUACUAAUAAACAAUAAGAAGUUUAAAAUUAAAUAGUAAUAGACAAUAAAUAAUAAAAGAAAAACGAAAACUAAUCUUCCUUUAUUUUAAUUUGUGGGUGUAUAAGAAGGACAUAAUUGUGGAAGACCUUCACAAAGGUCAUUUGAGAUCAAAGGAGAAGAAGCAAGAAAACAAAACGUGAGGAGUUUGAAGGAGAAUUGAAGUGAGAGAGUGGAUGGGUUUUAUUUAAAGAUUUAAUGCUUUUUUUUAAUCUCAUAUAUAGAAAAAAUCAUUGAAAGAAAAAAAAUUUAAUAUAAUUAUUUCAAUUUACAUGUCGGGUUUUUAUAAAAGUAACUCAAAUUUUUUAUUAAUUAUGAAAAUGACUCAAUUUAAAAAUUAUGUACAUAAAUUAUUCGACUUCUAUAGUAUUUGUUGGUGCCGCUAGACACAAUGGCGGCACCUACCUACCAUCAUCGACAAAUGAUUGUAUUUUAUUUCAAAAAUAGUAGUCUUGUAAUAGUGUCGUUGGAAAAAUUGGCGAUAUCGAACUGAAGUGUGAUUCUAUAAAAUGUUCAUGGACUUGACGAAGUAAUUAUCCUUUUUUAAUUAGCGGAAAAAGGGGUCUUCCCGUGAAUUUGGGGCACCAAAUUAAAUGCUUUUUAUCUUUUAGUCUAUUUGCAUGUUAAGUCUAUCCUCUUUUGAAAUUAAAUUUAAAUAACCCCUUAAGAAAUAUAAGAAUAACAAAAAUAAAUCAUAAUCAUUUAUUUUAUUUUAUUUUUAAAAAAUAAACUUAAAAAAUUAUAUAAAAUUCUUAUUUAAAUUACCUAAAUAUAUCCCUCACAAAAUUUCCUCAAGUUUAUCUAAAUUCAAGCAUUUUCAAUUCAUUCCCUAGCAUAUUUAAAUUUAGAUAAACUUAAAGGAAAUUUUUUGAGGAAUAUGUUUGGGUUGUUUGAAUAAGAAUUUUAAAUAAUUUUUUAAGUAUUUUUUCAAAAAAAUGAAAAUGGUUUUUUUUUUGUUAUUCUUAUAUUUUUUUAAGUGCUAUUUAAAUCUAAUUUUAAAAAAGGAUAAACGUAACAUGCAAAUAGGUCAAAAGUUGAAAAACAUUUAAUUUGGUUUAGAUACCAACGACACCCCUUUUUCAACUAAUCUAAAAUGUUAACCGCUUCAAAGGAUCCCUGCACGUUUUAUAUAAUCACAUUCAGUCUGGUUCCGUCAAUUUAUUAAGCAGCACUACUACAUUUUUUUUUAAAAAGCAAUUAUUGGAGGAUGAUGGUGGCCGGUGUAGUAAGCACUGUAGAAAUUAGGUCAUUUAUGUACAUUAUUUUUGGAAAAUUUUUUUAAUUAACCAAAAAAUUUUGGUUACUUUUAACUGUCUAGUUGAUGUAUUAACCUUUAGAUAAGUUUAUAAAUCUUCAUACUCAUUUUGAUUGUCUUUCAAAGUAAAGAAGGAAGAGUGAUACUAUCUUAUAAUGAUAUUUAUGUCAACAGGUUGUCAUUCCUCGUUUGAAGCGUCUGGAUUUGUCCUCCACCAACAGUCAUAAGAUAUGGCACCACUCAUCCUCCCCAUCUAUCGGAUACCUAAAUUUCUUGCAGGUGAAGAGGUGUCACAAUUUGAAAUACCUGUUCCCGUCUUUCUUAGCAAAAGAUCUUGUGCAACUCCAAGUCCUUGGAAUUUCGGACUGUAAUAUGAUGGAACAAGUAAUAUUCACGGAUGGAUUGGUUGAGGAACAUCAAGGGAGGAAUCAGAUGUUUUUCUUUAAUCUACAUUCGCUGUGGCUAAAAGACCUUCCCAAACUCACAAGUUUGUGCUUUGAUAAUUACUUUGAAUUUCACUGUUUGGCAUAUUUAGCACUAAUAAAUUGUCCAUUGCUAAAAACAUUCAUCUCUAAACGUGUACCCGGAGAUGAACCUCAAAUUGGCCAACAUGUACAGGCAAGUAACUUGGAGGUUCAUAACUCAUCUCUCCUCGAUGAAAAGGUCAUUUCUUCAUGGAUCCUCCUUUUAAUUUAUGUUACUUCGAUUUAUCUUAUUCAUUUGAGGUUCUUUCUUUUUCAUACAUAUUUCAGUUACUAACCUAAUGAAAUGAUUUAUUAGGUUGUUUUCCCUAGUUUGAAGACGUUGCGGAUUACGGGUUGUGAUUCGUUAGAAGAAAUUAUUGAGCUGCAAGGACUCAUUGCUGAUGAGUCACAGUCAACAUCAGCUGCUCAAUCUAUUGUGGCUGAAACAGUGACGACCAAGUUUGUAUUUCCCAAACUAAUAAACCUUGGAUUGUAUAAGGUACCGAGAUUGAAAAGUUUCUACUCUAGGAUGCAUAUCACCCAGUGGCCUUCAUUGAAAAAAAUGGACAUUAUUGGAUGCCCCAAAGUACAUAUAUUUACUCCACAAUGUCCUGAGAGUCAGGUUGGAAUCUCAAACCAACAACCCUUGUUUUGCGUCAACGAGGUAAGCUCACUAGCAGUUUCAUAUUCCAUGUUCAUUACUUGAGAUUACCUAUAAAAUGCUUUUUGAAAAAACUAAUAUUCUCUCCUCUUUUAAUUUUAUGAGAGUCUAGUUCUUACUAAUUUAAAACUUUUUCAUCGAUGUCUAAUAUAUUCAUUGCCAUCCAGGACACUUUCCCUGAAUUAGAAGAACUAACACUGAACACGAAUGAUGUGGUGAAGGAGAUAUGUGAUGGACAGCUCUCAUUGCAGUGUUUCCAAAACCUUAAACUUCUUAACCUCCGAUUCUUUCCUGAGACAUCCACUACUCUUCCAUAUUCCUUCAUUCGUUCGCUACCAAAGCUUCAGAAGCUUGUUAUAAACAAUGCUUCCAUUUCUGAAAUAGUCCGAUCUGAAGGACUUAGCGAAGAGGAAAGGCACACAUCGGUAUUCUAUCAGUUAAAGGACUUAAGGUUGUCUCAACUUCCAGAGUUGACGUUAAAGACUUUUAAACCAUCUUUGCUGUCUUUCAAAAAUCUAACAACACUGGAAGUUUCAAGCUGCCAUGGGUUCAUCAAUUUAAUCGCAUGCUCAACAGCUAAGUGCCUGACGCUACUGGAAAGAUUGAUCAUAGAUGAUUGUGAGAUGAUAGAGGAAAUCAUAGCGUGUGAGGCUGAAGAAAUACAAGGCGGCAUUGUAUUUCCCAAAUUGCAGUAUUUGCAACUAAGUUGUCUUCCAUGUCUAGCAAGCUUUUCCUUGGCCCCUCACUCGUUGGAAUUCCCAGUCUUGCUAAUGGUGAUAGUGACAAAGUGCCCCCAAAUGAGGAAUUUCUGCCAAGGAGAUUUAAGCACACCAAGGCUGGAACAAAUGCACUUAACAAGAGAUGAGGAAGGUGAACUGCAGUGGGAAGGCGACCUUAACACUACCAUAAAACAUAUGUUCGAUGAAAUAGUACAAAUCAUUUAAAGGAUUUAAAUUCAUGUGUUUUUACAUACAUACAUACAUACAUACAUACAUAGUUAAUUGAACAAUUCUUGGUUUGUUAUGACCAUGCACAGAAUGUGCAAAAUUCUGAGCCGACGGAGGUUACUAAUCAGUUGCCCAAGCUGGAAUAAGGAAAUAUGUUUGGGUGCUUAUGCGAAAAGCUCAAUUUCGUUUGAAUUCAAAACAAAUGGUAAUUGACUCCUCUAUUUUCAUCAUGGUUUAACUAAUGCUUUAUAAAGUGACCAUAGAGACGCCCUUUUCAUUAUAGGUUGAGUUGCUCUACUGAAGUACGAGGCAGCAACUUUUGGUAAAAUGUGAAAGGUUAUUUCAGUUUUUGUAAAACUACUGUUUGGACUGUUCCAUUUCACAUUAUACCCUCAAAAUUGAACUUCAAGUGUAUCAUGAAUGGCAUUGGGCUACAAACAUGUAAACUUUUACUAGUAAGGUUGACCCCUGUUUUAAGGAUUUGCCAACUUUUGAUGGUUACCAUAUCAAUGUCAACUUAAAGCUAUCAAGUAUCUUCACAAAUAUUGUUGACACCAUUUUUUGGAUGAAAAAAAAACGGGGUCGACUUGGGUUUUGACAAAAACGAAAAAACGGGAGUCGCCACCAAUCCUUUUUAAUGAGGUGUGAUUGGAUCACCUCAAAAACUAGUUGUUUCUAAUAAACGGUUUAAUUUUAUUAAAACAACGAUUUUGGUCCACGAAAUUCAGAAAACGGGUUCGGGAGUCGGUUACGUACGAGGAAGGAUUAGCACCCUCGUAACGCCCAAAAUUGGUACCUAGUUGAUUAGUUAAUGUCUUGAUGUCGAAAAUUGAUAACUUAAAAGAAUUUUAAAAAAUACGAUCCUUGAUUAAAACGUUAAGAGAAAAUUUUUUUGAGAAAAGAAGCACAUUUCACGUUAAUUGAGAAAUAUACGUCAUAUCCAGUGAGUUAGGAUACAAUGUCUCGAAUUCUCGAUGCGUAAAAAUGCUUGUUUAAAAGACAUUUUAGCUAUCUCGGAUUUAAAAAAGGAGAUCACGACCAGUAAGUUAGGACGCGAUUUUUUUUUUAAUUCCCGAUAUCAUUUAAAACUUGAGUUUAAAAAAAAUCGUGUAAUAAAGUUUAAAAGAAUAUUCAAUUGUUUAAAUCAAAUGAAGAAAUCGCAACCCAAUACGUUAAGGCACAAUUUCUCAAAAUAUUAAACAUUGAAUACUGCAUUUAUUUCGGAAAAAAAAAACCUCGUCUCGAGAAAACAACGUGUCACAUCCAAUGCGUUAGGACACAACGUAUUGAAUUCUCGAUAACGAGCUUUUUAUCAUUUUUAAAAGAGUAAUCUCGAUUAUUUAAAUUCAACGAAGAAAAUCAGAACCCAUUAUGUUAGGGCUCGAUUCUCUCGAAGUUCCAAAUACCGAGUAUUACUCAUAUUUUUAAAUUUUCUUCUUUUUUGAAAUCUAGAUAAAAAUAGGUGUAAUGGAAUAACAAUAAUGAUGAUGUAAUUAAAAUAAUACAAGCAAAGGCUACGAAGUAAAAUAAAUACAGAGACGAACUAAUAUAAUAUACAAUCACAAGCAUAUAAGCAAUAAAAUUAAAACAUUCAUUCUAAAUAAUGAAAAUGUAAAUGAAGAAAUGAACAAAGAAAAUGUAUAAAACUAUAAAAAAAUAAAACAUACAUAUGUGUAUAUACAUAAAAUUAUGGAAAUAUAAAAAAUAUAUGUAUGUACAUAUUUUAAAAUCAUUAUAAAAUAUAUAUAAGUAAACAUAUACAUAUAUACGUAUGUAACUAUCAUAAAAUAUAAAAAGUAUAUAUAUAGAUACAUAUAUAUAUAUGAGUCAUAGAAUAUAAAUAACAUAUAUAAGAUACAUAUUUAAAAUAUGAAGAAUGUAAGUAUAAAUAUAUUUAUGAAAAUAGAAUACAUAUAUAGACAUGUAUAUAGAUGUGUAUAAAAUUACGAAAUAUAAAAUAUAAGGGUAUUAGUAUGUGUAUAUAUAUAUAGACAGAUAGAUAGAUCAUAAAAAAAAUAUGGAUAUUAUAUAUAUAUAACAUGAAAACGCAUAUAUGUAUAUAUAACAAAGAUUCCAAAUAAAAAAUAAAUGAACAACUUAAUAAUAACAGUAAUAAUAUUAUUUUAUAAAAAAGGGAAAUAAACAAUAACAAAAGGACUAAAUUAAACAUUGAAACAAGAUUUGGGGUUUAAAAUUGCAAAUAAAAGGUUCAAGGGCUGGAAUGAAUCACGCACAAAGUGCAAAGGACUGAUCGGACAAUAUGCCCAAGUCCUGAAGGCACAACAUUCGUGCGCUGAUUAAAUUGAAUCAUAAAGAAAUUUCGUGGGGCCAAAUUAAAGAAAAUAAAUAAACAAGCAAAAGGACUAAAUUAAAACAAUCAACAACGAGGAAGGGCCAAGGGCAUAAAUAGCCCACUUCAUGAAAACGCGCGGAUCCCCUCCUACCGGGUCGGGUCGCACGCGGGUCCAGAGGCAGAACGAUGUCGUUUCGACGCCCAUAUGCAGUCACAAAACGGCGCCGUUUCUAUUAUGGUAUUUAAGCCCAAUUUUCUACAAAAAAAAUUUCAGCAACUGUUUGUUUUAAGAAAAAUCCAAAAAAAAAAACCUUUCCUCCUCCCCUCUCAAACAUCCGGCCUUUAGGUCUCCUUAGCGCCGCCAUUGCGCCACCGUGGACGGUGGCCGGCGUUGCGCAAAAGGGGCAUUCUAGUCUCGGUUUUGAGACCCGAUCGAAGGCUUUACUCGCAUAGCCUGAAGAUCAAGAGGCAGGACCCCCUAACUCAAACUUUCGGGGCCGAUUUCAACGACGGGCAGACCCCGACGGCAACGCAACCGAAAGACGAAACGGGUAAGUCCUCCUCUUCCUUUUUAUUUACUAUCUUUAUAUAUAUAUGUAUGUAAACAAAAAGAAAAGAGAACAAAAAAAUAACUUCAAAACUGAAAAGAAAAGAAAAGAAACCUUGAAUCUGUUUUUGUUUCCUUUUUCUCUAUUAAUGCCUUUUUUCUUUACAAAAAUCGAAACCCCCUUUACAAAGGUUUUUCAAUCGGUUUUUGAACCAAAAAUAAUACCCCCCGUUGCUUGUUGUUGUUGUUCUCUUUAUUAUUUACAGGUGAAGCAGGUGGCGAUGGGAUAAGGUGAACGGCGGUGGCAGAAGGCUAGGCUGCAAAAGGCGUACGGUGCUGAGCAAGGCAGGGAACCCUAGGGUUCCUUGAUGCUUGUUUAAUUUUUGUGCCCAAUUGGGCCAAUUUAGAUUUUGGGCAUUGGGCCUUGUGUUUUGGGUUGAAUUUAGCUUGUUAGGCUGGGGUAUUUUGGGUUAAUGGGCCCCGGGAAAAUUUAGGCUUCUACAGCUGCCUCUCUUUGCUCGUUGUCGUGUAACGAGAACAGAGCAAAGACUAAGAAAGACCAAAUUUGCCCAGUCUUGCCGAGUCUUGACUUCUCUUGACGCUUCUCUUCUUCACGUAGCCUCAUUCCAGUCUACUGUGUCUUGUCGUUUCGAUCCACUCCACUGCACCUCAGAAAGAUCUGACUUGUAGCUUCAAUCUUCUUCGCAACAACUUCAGAGAGAGAAGAUCGGUGGUUUUGAUCCGCUCCACUGCAACUUCAUAGAGAUAAGACUGGAUGCGGUCUGCUCUACUGCAACUUUAGAGAGAUAAGAUCUGUGGUUUUGAUCCGCUCCACUACUGCUUAAGGAGGAUAAGAUUGAUUUCUUCAAUCUGCUCCACUGCAACCUCAGGGAGAUAAGAUUGGAUGUGAUCUGCCCUACUGCAACUUCAGAGAGAUAAGAUCUGUGGUUUUAAUCCGCUCCACUGCAACUUCAGGGAGAUAGGAUUGGCUUCUUCAAUCUGUUUAACUGCAAUGUCGGGGAAGUAAGACUCGCCGUCGUAGCUUCAAUGUAUUCCACUACACCGUCAGGGAAAGUAAGAUUCGUCAUUGUGGCCUUGAUCUUUUAAUUGCAAUGUUGGGGAAGCAAGAUUCGCCGUUGUAGCUUCAAUGUAUUCCACUACACCGUCAGGAAAAGUAAGAUUCGCCGUUGUGGCCUCAAUAUUUUAAUUGCAAUGUCGGGGAAGCGAGAUUCGCUGUCGUAGCUUCAAUCUGUUCCGCUGCAUCACCUGGGAAGUAAGAUUUGCCUUUGUGGCUUCAAUCUUUUAAUUGUAAUGUCGGGGAAGCAAGAUUCGCCGUUGCAGCUUCAAUCUAUUCCGCUGCAUCCCCUGGAAAGUAAGAUUCGCCGUUGUGGCUUCAAUCUUUUUAACUGCCGGGGAAGCAAGAUCCGCUGUUGUAGCUUCAAUCUGUUCCACUGCAACGCUAGGAAAGUAAGAUCCGCUGUUGUAGCUUCAAUCUUUUUAAUUGCCGGGGAAGCAAGAUCCGCUGUUGUAGCUUCAAUCUGUUCCACUGCAACGCUAGGAAAGUAAGAUCCGCUGUUGUAGCUUCAAUCUUCUUAAUUGCAAUGUCAGGAAGCGAGAUUCGCUGUCGUAGCUUCAAUCUGUUCCGCUGCAUCACCUGGGAAGUAAGAUUUGCCUUUGUGGCUUCAAUCUUUUAAUUGUAAUGUCGGGGAAGCAAGAUUCACCGUUGUAGCUUCAAUCUGUUCCGCUGCAUCGCCUGGAAAGUAAGAUUCGCCGUUGUGGCUUCAAUCUUUUUAACUACCGGGGAAGCAAGAUCCGCUGUUGUAACUUCAAUCCGUUCCAUUACAACGCUAGGAAAGUAAGAUCCACUGUUGUAGCUUCAAUCUUUUUAAUUGCCGGGGAAGCAAGAUCCGCUGUUGUAGCUUCAAUCUGUUCCACUGCAAUGCUAGGAAAGUAAGAUCCGCUGUUGUAGCUUCAAUCUUUUUAAAUGCAAUGUCAGGGAAGUAAAAUCUGCUGUUGUAGCUUCAAUCUAUUCUGCUGCAUCGCUAGGAAAGUAAGAUCCGCUGUUGUAGCUUCAAUCUUUUUAAAAGCAAUGUCAGGGAAGUAAGAUCCACUAUUGUAGCUUCAAUCUGUUCCACUGCAACACUAGGAAAGUAAGAUCCGCUGUUAUAGCUUCAAUCUUUUUAAUUGCAAUGUCAAGGGAGUAAGAUCCGCUGUUGUAGCUUCAAUUUGUUCCACUGCAACGCUAGGAAAGUAAGAUCCGCUGUUGUAGCUUCAAUCUUCUUAAUUGCAAUGUCAAGAAAGUAAGAUCCGCUGUUGUAGCUUCAAUCUGUUCCACUGCAACGCUAGGAAAGUAAGAUCUGAUGUUGUAGCUUCAAUCUUCUUAAUUGCAAUGUCAGGGAAGUAAGAUCCGCUGUUGUAGCUUCAAUCUGUUCCACUGCAAUGCUAGGAAAGUAAGAUCCGCUAUUGUAGCUUCAAUCUUUUUAAUUGCAAACUAUGGUUUCUUCUAUCUGUUUCGCUGUCAGUACAGGAAUGCAAGAUUUGCUAUCUUCAUUCUGCUCCGCUGUCAGUACAGGAAAACAAGGCUGGUGUCUUCGAUUUACUUCACUGCCAGUACAGGAAGGCAUGAUCUGCUAUCUUCAUUGAUCUGUUCUCUGGUGAACAUGACCUUUAUGUUCUAUUUUAUAAACCUAAUUGUGCCUAGUGAUUAGGAUGACAUGAUCAGAACGAAACAAAUGCUCCUAACUAGAUGUGUAUGAAUGACAUUUGAAUGAAUGCAAAAUGUCAUGAAAAUGAUUCUUUAAUGCUUAGGUUAUCAUCACGCAAAAGCUUAUUAAGGUUAUAUCACUGACGUGCUACAAUGCCUUCUUGCUCAGCUAACAUAUCCAAAGAAACACUUAAUCUGAUUGCCCCCCACUGUGAACGUCAAAGUUCAAUCCACAGGGACAUAAAAUUUGUACCAUCAAUCUCCCACUAUAACCCAAGGGUAGAAAGAUAUGGCUUUUCUCAAUCUUCUCCUAUCGCAAUUCAAGGAUACAAGAUCUAAAUCCUUCUGGUCCCUUACACCAUUCCGAGGGUGUCGUAUCAAAGACUCAUGUGCAAAUGAGGGUUCUCUUCCCCGAGGUAACCUCUUCCUAUUGCCUGAUGAUCAUUGCUUUCUUGUUUAUUCAAGCUUUGUCACCAACAUGGCGUCUUGUCAAUCAACGCAUUUGACAACAAAAAAUCUAAAGAAAGUCUAAAUUUAGACUAUUCCUUCCCAAAUUUCCAACUUUAAAUUUGGUGUGUUAUAAACAAUAGUCAUGCUUUAGGCUCCAAUAUUAUUUAGAAACUUUUCAGAGUAAUAUGCAAAACUUCCUUUGUGAAAGUUUUAUUAGUCCAUUAAUCAUUAUUCUAAUACAACAUGCUUUGCAAAAAGGGUCUUAACAAUGAAUAAGAAUAAAAUUGGUUCUGAGCAUAGCUCGAAAAGAAUAAAUUACCAAAAAUAAUAAAGAAGGAUAAUGAAGAAAUUGAUCGGGAAUGUAUAUCUUGGAAAAGAAAAAGGUAUUCCAAGAACAACAAAUUUAAUAUAGAUAAUAUGAUAAUUGGGUGCCCAGACAUCGCAGCUUGAACUUCUCUGUACGAACUUUCUGAAGACCAUUUUGAGUUGGACAUGUGCUUAGGAGAUCUACAAUGCUCUGUCGAUACCCAAGAUGUCGCCUAUCCUUUCUUGUUGAUUCAGGCACAGCAAGAUCACCACAUGCCCCAAUAUGAUCAAAAUUCGAAUCGCUCUGAUCGCCUCAUGCCCCAUUCUGAACAAAUAUUUGAGCCGCCCUUUUCGGGUUUUCAACUCAAAUCCCCUUUGGCCUAAGGCGCCCUUUUUCGGGUUUUCCCCUUAGCCUCUCCAUUUUUCAUUUUCAUUUUUCAUUUUUCAUUUUUCAUUUUUCAUUUUUCAUUUUUCAUUCUCAUUUUUCAUUUUUCAUUUUUCAUUUUUCAUUCUCAUUUUUCAUUUUUCAUUUUUUUUACUUAGAGUGCUCUUUGCAGGCUUUCACAUUAGUCAUCUCUCCUUCUUUAAACGAAGUAUUUCUUGACUAGAUCUGAGUUUAUAGGACUAGAAAUCUCACUCAGGAUCAACGCUCUUCUGAGGAAUGUCUUCUUUACAACGUAGGGACAUUCCCAGUUUGGCAUUCAUUUCCCUCUGGAAUCCUUUUGGAGAGGAAUGAUCUUUUGACAUCCAACCCUCUCGUGGAAUUCUCUGAGAUGACACUGUUCGUUAUGGGCUCGUAUCAUUUGUUUCCGGUACAUCCAACCCUGAAGAAUAGCUUUUAACCUUUUUCCUAGGUUCAACUGAUCGCAUCGCGAUUGAAUCCAUUCUGCUUCAUCCAAUUCUAGCUCAACUAAUACUCGGAGAGAAAGGAUUUCAAUAGGUAAAACUACCUAAACCCUGCAAACCAAAGAGAAAGGUAUUGCCUCGGUAUAGAUGCUCGACAAGCAAGGAAGACAAAUAGUAAUUUCUCAUGCCAGUCUCUGUCAUUUUCCUUCAAUUUUCGAUGUUAAACUCUAGGCAAUUCAGUGGCGAAUCGUGGAGUCCACUUCUGAGUUGAUUUGAGAACUCAGCUAUCGUGAUAUUGUUUAAGCUCAAUGCAUUCUCCAAUACCCUUUUCUCUGAAAUUUUGUAUCGGAAUACGAUGACUUUUGAUCAUGAAGUAGCCUCUCAAAAUGAAGCAAUGCCCAUUAGAAGUCUUCGAUAAUGGUGAUGUCCAUGCCCCAUUGUGCUCGAAAUUUGAGUCGCCUUUUUUGGGUUUUCAACUCAAAACCACAUUUGGUCACAAAGCGCCCUUUACAGGUUUUCGCUUUGGCCUCUCCUUUUUUCUUUUUUAUUCUGAUUUUUUCAUCCAGAUUUCUCUUUUUCAUUCUUCUUUCUUUUUCUCAUUUUCAUUUUGAUCUUGAUUUUGAUUUUUUUCUUUCUUCUUUUUUUUUGAUUUUUUUCAUUUUCAUUUUCAUUUUCAUUUUGACUUUGACUUUGAUUUUGAUUUUUCUUUUUCUUCCCUUUUUGAUCUGAGCCUUUUGGUGGGCAACUUCGACAGAAAACUUUGGAUCUUCCUCUUUAAUCAGGAUGGACCCAACAACAACUUGAAGAGAUAGAAAUUUGACUUCAAAUGGGCAAAGCUAUGCUGACUCCACGUGAAAGGCAUUGCCCCGGCAAAGAAUUACAUCGUUCAUACUGCAAAUUUCUGACAUCGUGCUGUUGUGCAGAUUUCAUUAUCGGCGUUUAACCCGGGGCAUAUCCUGGUAUGAUCAUACGAAGACAUCUAUGAACCUUAGAGGUCACUCAAUAAGGUGUUGCUUCGUCUUUGCGGUCAAGUUAAUUCUAAUCUUCACCAAGUCCACAAUUCCUUAUGAGGUAGGAUCUGUCUAUCCUCUUAUUCUACCAUCCUCAACAAGUUCGGAGCUAAGCUACGAUCUAUGUCAUUUCCAAAGUCGUGAGAUCCGUCUAAACACAUACCUCUCUCAAGAGGAAAAUCUGAGUCUGUAGCAGUAUCACUCAUGUCAUUGAUAUCUGGGAACUCAUUGUAAGUACAAAAGGAUAUACAAAGAAUAUAUGAAGUUGUACAAUAUGUUUAUGAAUGCAAUAGUGAUUUGGAAGAAAGAAUAAAAGAAUACAAAUAAUCAUUGAUAAGAAAUGAAGAAUAUUGAUUCAAAAAAGAUCGCAAAGAUGCAUUCCAUUAAAAUAAUGACAUUCAGACUGAGCCUAUUUCACAAAAGAGUUCUUAUUGCCUCUAGGCUAAAAGCAACAAGUGUGUUCUGAAUAUUACUCUGAGUAAACUCUAAAUACUACAGGGGUCUCUUCUGCAGUCUAAUUAUUCAGAACACUCUCAAGUUUAGAAGGGCGAACAUCUAAUAAGAUAUCUUCUCCAAUUGUUUCUUCAUAUUCGGCACGGAUGUGAACAUUUCCUAACAUUUCUUCAUUCAUCGCAUUCCCUUCAUUAUCCAUAUGAUUGAGCAGCGGGUUUUCUGUACUGAGUGAAUCCUCAAAUUUAACAAUGCCCAUAUUGAUAAACCUUUCGACCAGCUUUUUAAAGGCAGUGCAUUUUUCUAUAGAAUGCCCUGUAAUUCCCGCAUGAUAGUCACAUCGCGCAUUUGUGUCGUACCAUUUGGGAUACGGAGGUUGUAAAGGCUUCAAGUAGAAAUGGGAGACAACAUGUGCGUCAAAUAAACUAUGAUACAACUCCUGGUACGACAUUGGGAUUGGUGCAAAUUGUGACUUUUCAGUACCUGGUUUCACUCCAGAUUCUUGCUUUAAAGGGCUCUGAUGGCUAGUGGUCUUCGUCUUUGGUUUGCCCACAGUGAUUAGUUUUGAGUGGCCCUUGUUAUAUUCGCCUGCGUUUUCCUUUUUAUUCCCCUUCUUCCUUGGGGCCUUUAUAGUAUCUGGGUACUCUACCCCCAUCUGCUUUAUUUCGGCUAGAUUAGCAAUAGGAUUAGCUAAAUCGUUCCUCAAAUUGGAUCCUAAGCCUGUCAGGCAAUUCACUGGUGUCGAUGUACUAGUCUGAUAAUAUUGGGAUCCGAUAGUAAAGAGUGCCCCUUGUGGGCGCCUAUCUGGCUGGACCUGGACACUUGUCGGAGUACAAUCUAAGGAAUAGACAAGAUCAUCAUUAUUAACCCUAAAGUAAACCACUGGGUCUUGCACUUCUUUUGACUUUCCAGCUAGCAAUCGGUUGAACUGGUUUAUCAUAGUUCUCCGUAAUUCUAGCAUCUGAUCUCUCAUCUCUUUUUGAAAUUUAGUCAUUUGCUCCUGCAUCUGGAUCUACAUUCGCUCUAAUUUUUCCAACCUUCGUUCCAUUUCUCUAGCCUUUGCUUGGAUAUCGUAAUGGUGUUUGGUUGUUUGGUUUUCCAAGUUAGCUGAAAUAAAUUUACUCAUUUAGACUCUUUCAAUGGAUUUUAAUGCAUGUAAUGCAAUGUGAUGCAAAUGCAUGAAAUGAAUGCCUAAAGAGACGUUGAUUCUGAUUCAAUUACAUUUAGAAAACUUUUCUAGAAAGCAAAUUCCCUUACAUAAAACAGAUACAUGUACGGCCUCACCCUCAUACUCCAAGAAACAACAUCGGUCUUUUUCUUCAUCCGCUUGUUUGAGGUAAUCUCGCCAAUAGAUGCCAUUGCUAGCUCCUUUUGAUCUUGGUCGUGAUCCAUCAUCUGCCCAUCUUCAUAAGGCUCGUCUGCUUCUUGGAACGUCGAAGGCUCUUAGACAAUCGCUUUGAAUCCUCAGGCCACGAAGCAGGGUCACGAACUCUUCCAUCGCCCUUCUUGCGUUCUUCAGAAUAUAUUUGGGAAGUUGUAUUAUUUUCCACCUUAUCAAGGAAUUCGUAUUCCAUGACAAGCUUUCUAAUUUAGUAAUCGAACUUGAAUCCAUAUCUCUUUCCUAAGAUGCAAAUGCAAUGUAAUGCAAUCAUAAUCAAAACACAACAAUAGGGGUUAGUACAAAACAUAAGCAAGCACAGAAAACAAAAAGUACCUAAUCAGGUAGAUACUAGGGGUUUGGAGUGGCUCUACCUAGGUUAAGUUCCUAAGUCUACUAUAUGAGGGUUGGUUCUAAAGUCAAGGUACCCGAACCAACAGAUUCCUCGAUCUUCACCCAUUAUAGGCUCAUACAGACAGAGUUCGGUUCAAGGGAAUACAUUUCCCGAUGGCUGCACGGAGAUGAAAAUCUCACGAAAGCAUAGGUACAGAUGUAUUCCGGAAGCGAUCCACUAUCCUGCACGAAGGUGAAAACCUCAAGAAGGACUAGUUUCUCACUCCCACCUAAAAGGUAAUAAUCGAGCGAUAAUGUAAUGCAACAUGCAGAAAUAUAUCAAAAUUCAAACCAAUAGAGCAAAUACAAACUGAAGUAAGGAUAAUCGUAACAAAAACGGACAAACAUACAACAAAAUGACCGUAGAUUUGAACCAAGCUUUCGGGUGACCUCUAGGCAUUUGGUGUGGUUCUACCUAGGGUAGGCUCUUAAGGCUCAUUAUAUGCGGUUCGGUUCUAAAGUAAGGGUACCUGAACCAGCAGAUUCCUCGAUCCUCACCCAUUAUAGGCCCAUACGGACUGAGUUCAGUUCAGGGGGAUACAUUUCCCUAUGGCCAUGCGGAGAUGAAAAUCUCACAAAUACAUAGGUACAGAUGUAUCCCGGAAGCGAUUUACUAUCCCAUGCGGAGGUGAAAACCUCACGAAGGCGUAGUUUUUCAUUCCCACUUAAAAGGGUGUGACCAACGGUCAUACAAUGCAAUGUGCUAAAAUAUACAUCUAAACGCAGUAAUUAUAAACAAAAUUAUAAAGACUGAAAUAAAAACGAAUGAAAUGCAACACAAGGAUCGUGUGAAGUUUUCAAUCUUUGACAAAAGACAAAAAGUAAUCAACACAUGGCUUGACUCUCGUAUUUUUCCCCAGCGGAGUUGCCAAGCUGUUGACACCAUUUUUUGGAUGAAAAAAAACGGGAUCGACUUGGGUUUUGACGAAAACGAAAAAACGGGAGUCGCCACCAAUCCUUUUUAAUGAGGUGUGAUUGGAUCACCUCAAAAAUUGGUUGUUUCUAAUAAACAGUUUAAUUUUAUUAAAACAACGCUUUUGGUCCAUGAAAUUCAGAAAACGAGUUCGGGAGUCGAUUACGUAUGAGGAAGGAUUAACACCCUCAUAACGCCCAAAAUUGGUACCUAGUUGAUUAGUUAAUGUCUUGAUGUCGAAAAUUGAUAACUUAAAAGAAUUUUAAAAAAUACGAUCCUUGAUUAAAACAUUAAGAGAAUUUUUUUGAGAAAAGAAGCACAUUUCACGUUAAUUGAGAAAUAUACGUCAUAUCCAGUGAAUUAGGAUACAAUGUAUCGAAUUCUCGAUGCGUAAAAAUGCUUGUUUAAAAGACAUUUUAGCUAUCUCGGAUUUAAAAAAAAUAGAUCACGACCAGUAAGUUAGGACGCGAUUUUUUUUUAAUUCCCGAUAUCAUUUAAAACUUGAGUUUAAAAAAAUUCGUGUAAUAAAGUUUAAAAGAAUAUUCAAUUGUUUAAAUCAAAUGAAGAAAUCGCAACCCAAUACGUUAAGGCACAAUUUCUCAAAAUAUUAAACAUUGAAUACUGCAUUUAUUUCGGAAAAAAAAACCUCAUCUCGAGAAAACAACGUGUCACAUCCAAUGCGUUAGGACACAACAUAUUGAAUUCUCGAUAACGAGCUUUUUAUCAUUUUUAAAAGAGUAAUCUCGAUUAUUUAAAUUCAACGAAGAAAAUCAGAACCCAAUAUGUUAGGGCUCGAUUCUCUCGAAGUUCCAAAUACCAAGUAUUAUUCAUAUUUUUAAAAUUUCUUCUUUUUUGAAAUCUAGAUAAAAAUAGGUGUAAUGGAAUAACAAUAAUGAUGAUGUAAUUAAAAUAAUACAAGCAAAGGCUACGAAGUAAAAUAAAUACAGAGACGAACUAAUAUAAUAUACAAUCACAAGCAUAUAAGCAAUAAAAUUAAAACAUUCAUUCUAAAUAAUGAAAAUGUAAAUGAAGAAAUGAACAAAGAAAAUGUAUAAAACUAUAAAAAAAUAAAACAUACAUAUAUGUGUAUAUACAUAAAAUUAUGAAAAUAUAAAAAAUAUAUGUAUGUACAUAUUUUAAAAUCAUUAUAAAAUAUAUAUAUAAGUAAACAUAUACAUAUAUACGUAUGUAACUAUCAUAAAAUAUAAAAAGUAUAUAUAUAGAUACAUAUAUAUAUAUGAGUCAUAGAAUAUAAAUAACAUAUAUAAGAUACAUAUUUAAAAUAUGAAGAAUGUAAGUAUAUUUAUAUUUAUGAAAAUAGAAUACAUAUAUAGACAUGUAUAUAGAUAUGUAUAAAAUUACGAAAUAUAAAAUAUAAGGGUAUUAGUAUGUGUAUAUAUAUAUAUAGACAGAUAGAUAGAUCAUAAAAAAAAUAUGGAUAUUAUAUAUAUAUAUAACAUGAAAACGCAUAUAUGUAUAUAUAACAAAGAUUCCAAAUAAAAAAUAAAUGAACAACUUAAUAAUAACAGUAAUAAUAUUAUUUUAUAAAAAAGGGAAAUAAACAAUAACAAAAGGACUAAAUUAAACAUUGAAACAAGAUUUGGGGUUUAAAAUUACAAAUAAAAGGUUCAAGGGCUGGAAUGAAUCACGCACAAAGUGCAAAGGACUGAUCGGACAAUAUGCCCAAGUCCUGAGGCACAACAUUCGUGCGCUGAUUAAAUUGAAUCAUGAAGAAAUUUCGUGGGGCCAAAUUAAAGAAAAUAAAUAAACAAGCAAAAGGACUAAAUUAAAACAAUCAACAACGAGGAAGGGCCAAGGGCAUAAAUAGCCCACUUCAUGAAAACGCGCGGAUCCCCUCCUACCGGGUCGGGUCGCACGCGGGUCCAGAGGCAGAACGACGUCGUUUCGACGCCCAUAUGCAGUCACAAAACGGCGCCGUUUCUAUUAUGGUAUUUAAGCCCAAUUUUCUACAAAAAAAAAAUUUCAGCAGCUGUUUGUUUUAAGAAAAAUCCAAAAAAAAAAAACUUUCCUCCCCUCUCAAACAUCCGGCCUUUAGGUCUCCUUAGCGCCGCCAUUGCGCCACUGUGGACGGUGGCCGGCAUUGCGCAAAAGGGGCGUUCUAGUCCCGGUUUUGAGACCCGAUCGAAGGCUUUACUCGCAUAGCCUGAAGAUCAAGAGGCAGGACCCCCUAACUCAAACUUUCGGGGCCGAUUUCAACGACGGGCAGACCCCGACGGCAGCGCAACCGAAAGACGAAACGGGUAAGUCCUCCUCUUCCUUUUUAUUUACUAUCUUUAUAUAUAUAUGUAUGUAAACAAAAAGAAAAGAGAACAGAAAAAGAACUUCAAAACUGAAAAGAAAAGAAAAGAAACCUUGAAUCUGUAUUUGUUUCUUUUUUCUCUAUUAAUGCCUUUUUUCUUUACAAAAAUCGGAACCCCCUUUACAAAGGUUUUUCAAUCGGUUUUUGAACCAAAAAUAAUACCCCCCAUUGCUUGUUGCUGUUGUUCUCUUUAUUAUUUGCAGGUGAAGCAGGUGGCGAUGGGACAAGGUGAACGGCGGUGGCAGAAGGCUAGGCUGCAGGAGGCGUACGGCGCUGAGCAAGGCAGGGAACCCUAGGGUUCCCUGAUGCUUGUUUAAUUUUUGGGCCCAAUUGGGCCAAUUUAGAUUUUGGGCAUUGGGCCUUGUGUUUUGGGUUGAAUUUAGCUUGUUAGGCUGGGGUAUUUUGGGUUAAUGGGCCCGGGCAAAUUUGGGCUUCUACAAAUAUAAUAUAUAUAUUAUUCCUUAAUGUGGGAUAAAAGUAGGCAGCUAUCUAUUAAUGAUACGGCUGAUUCUGAAAAGACGGCUGAAAUUGAAUCAAUGAGUUGUUGGUAUUUGCCUGAUGGAAGAACAGGGCCUAAUGUUACGUGGAUUCUGAUCAAGUUUUAAUUUUUCAGUUGUGGGCAUGACUGAUUGUUGCCAUUUGGUUGUUGAUCCUCUGAUUUUACGGUUGACUAUCUUGCUUAUACGUUGCUAUUGGUUGGCGGGUCUCAAGUAUGAAUUUCCAAGCCGGCUUUCAUCCAUAAUUAACUAGGUGUUCCAAUCCAUGGAGUUUAUGGUUUAUUAGUGUAACUGUCCAUUUGGUUAUGGAUUGGUUCUUAAGGUGUUUUGAUGCUUUGUAUGUUACAGUGUUUGCUCAACACCCUUUAAUUCUAAGGAAUUUUAUUCGUUGAGGAAAAAAAAAAUGAGGAUUACUCUGAUAUUUUAUGUUUGGGUUUAUGAAGAUUUUUGUAUGUUUAAUGAAAGAAAGCAAAUUAAAUAGAGACGUACAAGAUCACAUCCAUAGAUCAACAAAAGGGUUUAAUAUUUCCAUAAAAUAUUGUCCCAAAAAGGCCUUUUAAUGAGAAUUGAUCAUAUAAACUAAUGAAGGCCAUUGAAAAUAAAGCUUGUAAAAAAUUACAAAAGGAAUUGAUGAGAAUUUGUUGUGAUAAGAGUUUAUGGCCCUGUAGGAGCCUCUCCCCAAAUCGCUAGCAAAUGAAACAAAAGGAUUAAUGCACUUCGAUAAUGGCAGAUUUAUAUUUGUUACGAAAGGUCAAGAGCCCAAGCCAUCUCAUGCCACAGCUUUCCCUUAAAGCAUUCGUGGCUGAGUCUAGUAUUAAUUUUUAUUUGUAUCUUUUAUAUCCGUUUUAUAAUUCAUAUUUGGGAUUUGUAUUAUGCACUUAAUAUUUCAUUAUUUAUUGUCUAUGUUGCUCAUUGUUGCAAAAAGAAGAACCAAACACAAUGCAUGCAUAAACCAUAAAAAAGAGAAAAAAACAACAUAAGCAACUAAUAAUGAAAUAUAUUAAAAUGAAGAAUGGCAAUUGAUUUCAGAAUUACCCCAAUUUCGGUAAAUAUAUUAAAACAUGUGUCUCUAAUCUUUUUCAAUUUUGAUAUUGAAAAAAUUGGUAUUUCUAAAAAUAUCAGAGUUAUUCAAUCAUUUUCAUUUUUGAAAGUGAUAAGUCAAAGACAAUUAAUUACAACAUUAAUGUUUUUCAUCAAUUAUACAUAAUUUUCUUGGUAUAAUAAUAAAUUUAGCCCUCAAAGUUGACACAUCCUAUCAAUUUGUUAUUGAUUUAACUAAUUUAACCCACAAUAUUUACACAUUUUGUCAAUUUGAUCAUGAUUUAACAUAUUUAACCCGUAAUAAUUACACAUUCUAUCAACAUUUACACAAAAUAUAUAAUCAUCAAUGAUUAAAUUUAUUUUUCUACUAAUCAAAAUUAUGUAUAAUUAACAGAAACUACUAGCGCUUGAUUAAUUGUUCAUGGUUACUUUCAAAAUUGAUAAGGAUUAAAUUACUCUAUUUCUUUUAGAGUGACCAAUUUGUUCAAUAUCAAAAAGAUAUUUUUUAUUUAUUUUAAUUUCAUAGGUAAGAAAAUCUCAAAAAAGAAAAUCUUUGAAAUAAAAAAAAGUAUGUUUUAUAUAAUUAUUUAAAGUUACUCUCACAUUAUUUUUUACCCAUUCAAAGCUAGCAAGUCUUUUAUGUACAAAUGGUGUAGCUCUGCAAUUUGGAUUAACAUGUUGGUGACCUCCAUGUGAAGUGAAAGAAAAUAGACAAUGUCACACAAUUAUUAUUUUUCCCUCCGUACCCCUAUGCCACCAAAGAAAGUUGAAUUAUCAAGGCACAAAAGCACUAAGGAGUAGGAGCUAGAAAAAGAGGGGCAUGAAAAUAAAAAGAGUCAAAUUAUUAUUUGACGGAAACGUUAAAUUUUGAAAUACAUAUAACAAUCCACGUGUGUUUCAUAUAUAUCUUUUUAAUUUUUAUGAUUUUUUUUGAAAUUUUGAUUUUUGAAUACUAUUAGAAAAUUAUUUGGUACAUUGUUAGUGGAGUUUUUAAACUCCACCAACAAAAUCAAUGGGUUGACAAGUGUCUUACAGAGGUAAAUAAAAUAUUAAAAAAUAAAUAUUUUAAAAAAAAGAUAUAUGUCAAUUUUUUAAAGUUACUUGUGAAAUAAAAAUAAUAUAUUAUCAGCGUACCAAAUACUCACAUUUUUAAUUAAGAUUUAAAAAUAAAAAAUAUAUAGUUACUAAAAUGAAUGGGUUGCAAAUUGAGAAAUUUGAUAUUGAAUAUUAAAAUUUUCUUAAAAAGAAGACAAGAUACAAAAGUUAGUGACUUAUUUGAUUUUAUUUUAAUUUUUAAAUUUAUGCAUUUUAUUAUGAAUUUUUAUUCUUUGUGUACUCUGUAAAAUUUGUCUGAAAUUUCUAAUUUUUAAUUUUUCACAUGAGUUUAAGAUAGAAAAAAUUUACUCUUAGGAUUGGUGAAACAAGGGUUACAAUCGAUACAAGAGUUCAGUUUACGAUAUGUAGAUGAUUUUGUUCUUCGAAAUAUUGUCUACAGGUAGGAUAUCGGAAAUCUAUUAUCAUAGUUUUGUUAAAAGGUCGAGAGUUCUAUUUUGGCCUAAGACUCUAGGAAUUCUAUUAUCGAUAUUCUAAUUAUGAUCAUGAUCUGUAAAAGAUAUGAGUAACAUGUGAUAUGUAAAUGAAGAGUUUUAUGGUAUGAUAAGCCAUAAAUUAAGUGAAAAUGUAAGGAAGUGUAUGAUUAUAUGAAAGACAAAAAUAAUUAAUUUAGUUUAAUGAUCUGUAAAAUUGAAAAGUGAAAUACAUGAAUUAUAUAAGAGAAUGUUCAUGAUCGACAUGCGGUGUGUAAAUGAUAAGGAAAAAAUUAUAUGACCAAAAUAGUAGAAAUGAAUAAUGAAAUUAGUUAAAUACUUUGUAAGUUCAAAAGUAGGUUGCAUUAAAUAAAUAGAUUUAUUAGUCAGAAUAGUAAUCAGUCCGGCAUGCACGCUCUCUUCAGUGAGAAGGUGAUUUAUUUCAUUACUCUUACACUCUUGCAUAAAUCUGUUGAUUUGUCCUUGUUUUUUUUUCUGCCUUCAUUACUUGAGCUAACCUUAUUAUGGGCAUGGAUUAUAUAUAUAUAUGAAUAGGUUGCAGUUCCUAGCUUGGAAAAGCUGAAUAUCUGGGACUUGAAUGUGAAGAUGAUAUUUUAUAAUGACCUAGCACCAGGUUCCUUUAAAAAUCUACGAGAAAUAAUCGUUUGUGGAUGUGGGAGCUUGAAAAAUCUAUUUCCAGUAUGAAUAGCCAAAGAUCUUCCACAACUUGAACUUUUAUGCAUCAGGGGUUGUCGAGUUGAGGAGAUUGUAUCGAAAGGGGAUGGAGUGGAGGAGCAGCCUGUGAGGUUUGAGUUUCCGCAAGUAUCUUUCCUUGAGGUUAGAUGGGUAGCAAAGCUCAAAUGUUUCUAUGAAGGGCAACAUACAAUAGUCUGGCCGAUGUUGAAAAAAUUGGAAACAGAUAGUUCUGCUUUGCUAAAGAUAGUGGCAUGGGAACAUCUUAGAUUAAUCCAAGGAAAUGAGGAGCCAGUUUUGUUGGGUGAAGAGGUAUGUAUAUCAUUACAAAUAUAUUUCAUUUUAUGAUUUAAACCACUGCCACAAGCAUCUCAAGUUGAAAUAUGCCACGAUCAUGCAUUUCUAAUUAUUAUAUUUUGUUUGAUUUUUUUUUUUUGAAUUUUUUGUUACAUUUAUAAUUAUUUUUUCAAUUUUUUUAAAAACAAGACUGAAUAAACAUAAUAGGUAAAUAUUGAGUGAAUGCAGUUCAAUUUGAUAAAAUGUAUAAAUAUUGAGGGUUAAUUUUAUUAUUAUGUAAAAAAAAUACUAAAAAUAAAAAUAAAAAUAUUUUAUCUGUUUUUAAGUAACCAAAAUGAAAAUAUUUUAACACUAAGUGACUAUAUAUGUAAUUUACCCUGCAUUUAAGUAGUGGAUCGAAACUAAAUAGGACCUUUAAUUUGCUAAAAAAAAAUUGCCACUCAAUAAAAAAAUCAAAACUUUAAAAGUUAAUUACACUAGACAUCUCAAACUAUGACCUUCAUUUUAAAUUAGUCCUAAAAUUUAAAACUAUUGAGGUUAUAUCAAUUACGUCUUUCUGUUAUUAAAUUCGUUAAUUUAACCAUCAAAUUAAAUCAGUGUAAUAUUUUAAAACCUUGGUGUUUUAUCUCCACUGUUCUGCUUAUAUUUUUUAUCAUAGAAAAUAAAUAUAUAUAUAUAUAACAAUGGUUGUUUAUCUAUUUUAAUCUAGAUUUGCUACUCUUCUUUCGGCUUUUAUGUUCUGUAAUUUUUAUCAGUUUUAAUUCUCAAUGUAUUGUGUUUUCUUAAAACAAAAAAUUCAUCUAUUCUGGAUUUGUUUGAUUUAAUAUUGAUUUUGUUGGGAUUUAAUCAUCAAAAUCAAACACUAAAAUUGUAAAUUUUUUUUUGUUUGUUUGUUUGUUUAAAGCAUAUACAUCAACAUUGAGCCUAACUUGUUUAUAUUUAAUUGGUUUCCAAGGUCAUUCCCAAAUUAGAGGAACUUGAGUUACUAAAUUUUGGUGAUAUGGACCAAUUUCCACCAAACUUGUUUCAACAUAUUAAAGUUUUUGCAGCGAGUGAUGGCUCUCCAUUUUCUAUAUUUCCUUUCGUCCGAAGAUUCUACAAUCUGGAAAGACUUGAGUUCACUUGUUUAGAUUUCAAACAUGUAGUCCCUUGUAAAGGAGACGCCGGGACUCUCCCACCAAUUAGAAAUCUGGAAUUGUUUUCUGCCAGAAAUCUUAAUCAUAUUUGGAGGAAAGAUUCGGAGCUUGACCAUAUUCUUUCUAAUCUUCAAACACUCACAGUUCAUAGUUGUGAUGAUUGGAUAAAUAUUAGAGUCUUCUCAUCAUCUUUGCAAAAUCUCACAAUUGAAUGUGUCAUUUUGUAAAAUGAUGACAAACUUAGUCACACCCUCAGUACUUAAGAAUCUUGUGCAAUUAACGACAAUAAAGGUAGAAUACCGCACUAAAAUGACAGAAGUAGUGGGAAACGAGGGAGACUGUCAUCAGACAAUAGUUGUUAGUAAAUUGAAAUGUUUACAACUAUGCAAUUUGAAGAGCCUCACAAGCUUUUGUCCACGGUAUUACAGCUUCGAGUUUCCUUGUUUGGAAGAAUUAGUUGUGGAAGAUUGUCCUAAGUUAAAGAUCUUUUCUGAGGGAGUUUUAAGCACCCCACAAUUACAGAGAAUAAAACAGUCGAGUUACCGUGAGAAAUGGAGUUGGACAAGUGACCUUAAUACCACCAUAAAACAGUUAUACACAGAAAAGGUACAAAGUUAAUAAGUUCAUAAUGCUACCUAGAUUCCUCGUGUCCUAAUACAAUUAAUUUUAUUACUACUUCAAUAACCAUUGAAGAGUGUUAAUCGUUACUUUGUUAUUGUCUGCAUUUUCUAUUUAUGAUUGCUAUCUAGUGGAAUAAUAUCAGAUUAAUUUUUAGGAUGGACUCUAUAACCCAUAUGAUUUCAACAUCUCUGACACAUUUCCGGAGUCGAUAGAAAUAUGGACUAGAAACCCUCAAGAAAUUUUGGGCAUCAAAAACCUUAGCAGCCUGCAGUUUAUAAAUGUAGCAGCUUUAAGUACAUAUUUACUCCGUCUAUGCUUUUGGGCCUCAAUCUACUACGAAGGAUAAAAGUGAGAGAAUGCAGUUCAAUGGAACAAGUAGUUAGGGAGGUGGAGGAAGCAAUGACACAUAAAUUUACAUUUCUUUCGCUACGCUCCGUAACAAUUGAGUCGUGUUCCAACUUGACAAAUUUCCAUUUGGGAAGUCAAGCUCUUGAAUUUCCACAGCUGUUGAAAAUCACGAUAGCUGAGUGUCCAAAAAUGACUGCAUUUUCUUCCUCAGUUUCAAGAGAGAGUGGUGAUGCAAGCGAAAACGUGGUUGGCAAAGGGGGCAUCUAUGAUAACACUGCAACUUUUUUCAGCAAUAAGGUAAGUUUGGUAUUCAAUAUUUAUCUGCACAACUUAUUUCACAUUUUCUUUUGAUUUGAUCAACAUGAGUGUGUCUGGUCUACAUAUCCAUACUAGUGCUACACCUUGUCAAAAUUUAAUAUAAUAAAAUCCAUAAAAAUAUUAAUAAAUAAGAUGAUGUUUAAAAAAAAAUUGGAGUUUAAAGUAUAAAUAAAUAUAUAAAAUAAGAAUUGAAGGAAAAACUUAAAGUGAAAUACUAAAAAACAAUAAGAAUUUAAGAGAAGUUUAAAAUUAAAUAGUAAUAGACAAUAAAUAAUAAAAUAAUAAUAGAAAAAAGAAAACUAAUCUUCCUUCAUUUUAAUUUGUGGGUGUAUAAGAAGGAGAUAAUUGUGGAAGACCUUCACAAAGGUCAUUUGAGAUCAAAGGAGAAGAAGCCUGAAAACAAAACGUGAGGAGUUUGAAGAAGAAAGAACCAAAUAUAUAGAGGAGAAUUGAAGUGAGAGAGUGGAUGGGUUUUAUUUAAAGAUUUAUUGCUUUUUUUUUAAUUUCAUAUAUAGAAAAAAUCAUUGAAAGAAAAAAAAGUUUAAUAUAAUUAUUUAAAUUUACUUGUCGGGUUUUUAUAAAAGUAACUCAAUUUUUUGAUUAAUUAUGAAAAUGACUCAAUUUAAAAAUAAUGUACAUAAAUUAUUCGAUUUCUAUAGUGUUUGUCGGUGCCUCCAAACACAAUGGCGGCACCGACCUACCAUCAUCGAUCAAUGAUUGUAUUUUAUUUAAAAAAUAAUAGUUUUUUAGUAGUGUUGUUGGAAAAAUUGGCGAAAUCAGACUGAAGUGUGAUUAUAUAAAAUGUUCAUGGACUUAAUGAAGUAAUUACCCUUUUUUAAUUAGCGGAAAAAGGGAUCUUCCCGUGAAUAUGUGGCACCAAAUUAAAUGAUUUUCAUCUUUUGGUCUAUUUGCAUGUUAGGUCUAUCCCCUUUUGAAAUUAAAUUUAAAUAACCCUUAAGAAAUAUAAGAAUAACAAAAAUAAAUCAUUCUCAUUUAUUUUAUUUUAUUUUAAAAAAAUAAACUUAAAAAAUUAUAUAAAAUUCUUAUUUAAAUUACCCAAAUAUAUCCCUCACACAAUUUCCUCAAGUUUAUCUAAAUUCAAGCAUUUUCAAUUUAUUCCCUAGCAUAUUUAAAUUUAGAUAAACUUAAGGAAAUUUUUUAAGAAAUAUAUUUGGGUAAUUUGAAUUAGAAUUUUAUAUAAUUUUUUAAGUAUUUUUUCAAAAAAAAAAAGGGAGGAAUUGGUUGAAGAACAUCAAGGGAGGAGUCAGAUGUUUUUCUCUGAACUAGAAUUGCUGUGGCUAAAAGACCUUCCCAAACUCACAAGUUUCUGCUUUGAGAAUUGCUUUGAAUUCCAAUGUUUGACAGUUUUGGAACUAACAAAUUGUCCAUUGCUAAAAACAUUCAUCUCUAAAUGUGUACCCGGAGAUGAACCUCAAAUUGGCCAACAUUUACGAGCAAGUAACUUGGAGGUUCAUAACUCAUCUCUCCUCAAUGAAAAGGUAAUUUCUUCAAGGAUCCUCCUUUUAAUUUAUGUUACUUCGAUUGAUUUUAUUCAUUUGAAAUUCUUUCUUUUUCAUACAUAUUUCAGUUAUUAACCUAAUGAAAUGAUUUAUUAGGUUGUUUUCCCUAGUUUGGCGAAGCUGCAGAUUCAAAAUUGUGAUUCGUUAGAAGAAAUUAUUGAGCUGCAAGGACUCAUUGCUGAUGAGUCACAGUCAACAUCAGCUGCUCAAUCUAUUGUGGCUGAAGCAGUGACGACCAAGUUUGUAUUUCCCAAACUACAAAACCUUGGAUUGGAUAAGGUGCCAAGAUUGAAAAGUUUCUACUCUAGGAUGCAUACCACCCAGUGGCCUUCAGUGAAACAAAUGAGCAUUAUUGAAUGCCCCAAAGUACAGAUAUUUACUCGACAAUGUCCUGUGAGUCAGGUUGGAAUCUCAAACCAACAACCCUUGUUUUUCGUCAACGAGGUAAACUCACUAGCAGUUUCAUAUUCCAUGUUCAUUACUGGAGAUUACUUAUAAAAUGCCUUUUAAAUUUAUGAGAAAGAAAAUGGAAAUUAUAUUAAUUUUGUAGUCUAGUUCUUACGAAUUGAAAACUCUUUGAUCGAUGUUUAAUAUAUUCGUUCCCAUCCAGGACACUUUCCCUGUAUUAGAAGAACUAACACUGAAGACGAAUGAUAUGGUGAGGGGGAUAUGUGAUGGACAACUCUCAUUGCAGUGUUUCCAAAACCUUAAGCAUCAUAACCUCCAUUUCUUUCCCGAGACAUCCACUACUCUUCCGUAUUCCUUCAUUCGGUCUCUACCAAUCCUUCAUAAGCUUGUUAUAGACAAUGCAAGAAACUUAAAACAAUUGAGCCGUGUUCCAACUUGACAAAUUUUGUUGAAAAUGGACUGUAAAGCAACAAAGGAGCAGCUUGGUGCAUUUUUGUUUCUUUAUUUUGUUUAUUUUGUUUACUUUUAAUAUUUGUAAUCUUUUGUAAUUGAAACAAGUUGGUGUGCAACUUGGUUUCAUAAUGAUAGCUAUAAUUGAAACAACAUAAUGAUAGCUAAUAUGCUUUCAUAAUGAUAGCUAAUAUGCUUUCAUCUUUUUAAUUAUUAAUUGGCAAGUUGCCAAAUUUAGUGGAAAUUGUUAGGUAAACAUUCCACUUUUGUAACUCUAUAUUUUGAAAUGAAAUGAAAAUGGUAUUAUCAUUCGGUUUCAAUCAAACAUAUUUUUUUUCCUUUUGCUUGUUAACCGAGAGCUUAUGCUCUUGAUGCUUUGUGUUUUUCUGCUUGCUGUUUGAAGAGCUUAUGCUCUUAGUGUUUCAUUGUUUGGUUGUUGCUGCCAUUUUAUCCAACAAAUGGUAAUCAGAGCAUCCUAUCUUUGAGGACCUUUGUGGUUUUGUUUUAGUUUUCAAAACAAAGUCAGUUUUGUUUUUGCAAAAUCAGUUUUCAGCAGCAUGAGUUUUUCUCCUCCUCCACCACCAGUUUUUGUUGGAGACAACUACCAUAUUUGGAUUGUCAAGAUGAAGACAUAUCUUCAAGCACUUGACCUCUGGAGUGCAGUUGAGAGUAAUGUUGAGCCAAAACCAUUAAGAGCAAAUCCUACCAUUGCUCAGAUCAAGCAACAUGGGGAGGAACGAGCCAAGAAACACAAAGCAAUAGCCUGUUUGUAGAAUGGAGUGUCAGAUGUUAUCUUCACUCGCAUUAUGGCCUGUGAUUCCCCUAAGCAGGCAUGGGACAGGCUUAAAGAGGAAUUUAUGGGAUCGGAUAAGACCAGGCAGCAACAGGUCAUUAACCUGAUAAGGGAAUUUGAAAACUUAAAAAUGAAAGAGUCAGAAACUAUUAAGCAAUAUUCUGACAGAAUUAUGGCAACAGUGAACAAUAUAAGACUCCUAGGAGAAGAUUUCAAUGACAGCAGAGUGGUUGAGAAGGUGAUUACAACUCUUCCAGAGAGGUUUGAAUUAAAAAUCUCCUCAUUGGAGGACUCAAGGGACCUUACAAAGAUUUCUUUGUCUGAAUUGGUCAAUUCUCUCUAUGCACUCGAGCAGAGGAGAUCUACCAGACAGGAGGAGAACCCUGAAGGAGCUUUCCAAGCAAGGACCAGAGAAGGAUCUAGCUUAAACUAGAGAGCUAAGAAACCUUGGCUUGAAAGAAAGGACAAAGCAAGGAGAGAAGCAUAUAGAGAAGCAGGCAGAAGGAGGUUUCCACCAUGUUUUCACUGCAAAAAGACCAAUCACCUGGAGAAGUUUUGCUGGACCAGACCAGACAUACAGUGCAAAAGCUGUAAAAAGUAUGGCCAUCAUGAGAAAAUUUGCAGGAGUCAUGAUAAGGCACAAGUACAGCCAGUUCAAGCCAAAACUACUGAGGAUGUGCAAGCUCAGGAGGAGCAUGUGUUUACUGCUUCAUGUUUUGCAGUUAACAGCAAGUGCAGCUGGCUUGUGGAUAGUGGUUGCUCACACCACAUGGCUGAAAAUGUAAGCCUUUUCAAGAACCUUGACAGGAGCUAUGUCUCAAAAGUCAGGAUAGGUAAUGGCAACCUGAUUGAGGCAAAAGGCAAAGGUGAUGUGGUGAUUCACACUGGUUCAGGUAACAAAGUUAUUUCUGAUGUACUCUAUGUGCCAGAAAUAGACCAAAAUUUGCUAAGUGUAGGCCAGUUAGUUAGGAAAGGCUAUUCACUAGUUUUCAAGAAUGAUUCUUGUGUUAUAAGUGAUGCCUAUGGUAGGGAGAUAGUCUCGGCACCUAUGGCAGACAAAUGCUUCAUGUUGGAUGUUAGUCAACUUGACAAAAGAGCUUACACAAGCUCAGUGGAUGAUACUGAUCUUUGGCAUAAGAGAUUUGGCCAUGUUAACCUCAAAUCACUUGAUUUGCUGCACAAAAUGAAUAUGACAGAGGACAUGGUGAAGGUAGACACAAGUGAAGGUGUUUGUGAGGUGUGUCAGCUUGGUAAGCAGACCAGGCUACCAUUUUUAGCUAACCAGGCAAGGAGGGCUCGAGACAGACUUGAGCUGGUGUACUCAGAUGUCUGUGGACCAAUGAAGACACCUUCAUUGAAUGGCAGUAAGUACUUUGUUUUGUUUAUUGAUGAUUUGACCAGAUGUUGUUGGGUGUAUUUCAUGAAACAGAAGUCGGAAGUGUUUGACAUGUUUGUGAAGUUCAAGGCUUGGGCAGAAAAUCAAGCAGGCUGCAAGAUUAAGGCUCUAAGGACAGACAAUGGCACAAAAUACUUGUCUGAGAAAUUCCAGAAGCUAUGUGAGCAGGCUGGAAUCCAUCAUCAGUUGACUACAGUCUACAUUCCUCAACAAAAUGGAGUGAGUGAGAGAAAGAACAGGACUGUGAUGAAUAUGACAAGGUGCUUGCUGUUCCAAAGCAAACUNNNNNNNNNNNNNNNNNNNNNNNNNNNNNNNNNNNNNNNNNNNNNNNNNNNNNNNNNNNNNNNNNNNNNNNNNNNNNNNNNNNNNNNNNNNNNNNNNNNNNNNNNNNNNNNNNNNNNNNNNNNNNNNNNNNNNNNNNNNNNNNNNNNNNNNNNNNNNNNNNNNNNNNNNNNNNNNNNNNNNNNNNNNNNNNNNNNNNNNNNNNNNNNNNNNNNNNNNNNNNNNNNNNNNNNNNNNNNNNNNNNNNNNNNNNNNNNNNNNNNNNNNNNNNNNNNNNNNNNNNNNNNNNNNNNNNNNNNNNNNNNNNNNNNNNNNNNNNNNNNNNNNNNNNNNNNNNNNNNNNNNNNNNNNNNNNNNNNNNNNNNNNNNNNNNNNNNNNNNNNNNNNNNNNNNNNNNNNNNNNNNNNNNNNNNNNNNNNNNNNNNNNNNNNNNNNNNNNNNNNNNNNNNNNNNNNNNNNNNNNNNNNNNNNNNNNNNNNNNNNNNNNNNNNNNNNNNNNNNNGCUAGAUAAAAGAGCUCAAGCAGGGAUCCUGAUCGGCUAUAGCUUGGUUAAAAAGGGCUACAGAAUCCUAGAACCUGCUACAAACAAGAUAUUGGUUAGUAGGGAUGUUGUUUUCAAUGAAAAAGGACACUGGAAUUGGGAGAAGGCUGAACCAGAGGCAGUGGCUGAAGAUCUGGCAUUGGACCAAGUUGAAAAUGAUAAAAACACACCUGAAAUGGAUGUAGAUGAUGUUCUAAUCAGAGGCACUCGAUCACUGGCUGAUGUUUAUGAAAGAGCACAAGUGGCUACUGUUGAACCAAGUUGCUUUGAAGAAGCAGAAAGACAGAAGGACUGGAAGCAAGCUAUGAUUGAAGAAAUCAGGAUGAUUGAAGAAAUCAGGAUGAUUGAAAAGAAUCAGACCUGGAGUCUGGUUGAUAGACCAACAAACAGGAAGAUUAUUGGUGUCAAAUGGGUUUAUCGAGUAAAGAACAAUGCUGAUGGUAGCCUAAACAAGUUAAAGGCUAGAUUGGUUGUGAAAGGCUUCAGUCAAAGGUAUGGAUCAGACUACCUGGAAACCUUUGCACCAGUGGCUAGGCUAGACACUAUUAAACUGCUAGUUGCCUUAGCAGCACAAAAAUAGUGGCUGAUACACCAACUUGAUGUAAAAUCAGCAUUUCUGAAUGGAUUCCUUGAAGAGGAGAUUUAUGUGGAGCAACCUCAAGGUUUCAAGGUGUCUGGCAAGGAACAAAUGGUGUACAAACUCAACAAAGCCUUGUAUGGCUUGAAACAGGCUCCAAGGGCCUGGUAUAGCAGAAUUGAUGGAUAUCUGACCAGUUUGGGAUUCGAGAGAAGUCUAAGUGAGCCAACUCUCUAUGUUAAAUUGACUAGUACUGAAAUUUAGCUCAUUGUGUCAAUAUAUGUCGAUGACUUACUGGUGACAGGAGGAGAUCGAGAGAUGCUAAUCAGCUUUAAAGCUAAAAUGCAAUAGCACUUUGAGAUGUCUGACUUGGGAUUGAUGUCUUACUUCUUAGGCAUGGAAGUAACUCAAGCUGAAAAUGGAAUUUGGCUUAGUCAAAAGACCUUUGCUAUAAAGGUUCUCAACAAAUUCUCAAUGGAGAAUUGCAAAGCAACUAGCAUACCAAUUGCUGUUGGAGAAAAACUCUCGAGCCAAGAUAAGCAUGAAAAGGUCUGUGAAACAACCUAUCGAAGUCUAGUUGGAUGUUUGUUGUAUUUGACUGCUACCAGACCUGAUAUAAUGUAUGCUGUGAGUCUACUCUCAAGGUUCAUGCAUUGCCCAAAUGAAAGUCACUUUAGAGCUGCAAAAAGAGUUCUAAGAUACAUCAAGGGAACUUUGUCCUAUGGAAUGCAAUUUACCAAGGCUGAGAACUUAAAGUUAGUUGGCUAUUGUGAUAGUGAUUGGGCAGGUUCUUUGGAUGAUAUGAAGAGCACAACAGGUUAUGCAUUCAACCUAGGCUCUGGUAUGAUUUGCUAGAGUUCAAAGAAACAGGCAGUAGUAGCACAAUCUACUGCAGAGGCUGAAUAUAUAGCUGCUGCAGCAGUUAAUCAAGCCAUAUGGCUUAGAAAAAUCUUAGCUGAUCUUAACCAUGAGCAGAAUGAAGCAACAGAGAUAAUGUGUGACAACCUAUCUGCUGUUGCAAUUGCAAAGAACCCUGUCUUUCAUGGAAGGACCAAGCAUUUCAACAUCAAACUUCAUGCAGUUCGAGAAAUGGAGCAAGCUCAUGUUAUCAAAUUAGUUCAUUGUAGUUCUGAAGAGCAAACUGCUGACAUUUUGACAAAGGCACUCAGUGUUUCCAAGUUUCAACACCUAAGAACUAAGAUGGGAGUUUGCAACAUGCUAACCAAGGAGGAGUGUUGAAGCAAUGGUCAGCAUGCAGCAACCAAGACUGUCGAGGGCACUACAUGCAGAAGCUGCAAGUUCAUCAAGUCAGCAAGCUGUGUUUUUACUUAUUUUGUAUUUUUAAGUUAAUGCAAUGUAACUUAGUUGUAUUUCAACUAUGUUAGGUUUAUAUUUAAUGUAAAACUGAUGGUGAUUGAGCUGAUUAAUCAGCUUUGUUGAUUUGUACAAGUUAAUUAGCUCAAGUUACUAAGUUUGUUAGUGGUAGUAGGUGAAGUUUAGGUUAACCUACUGUUUUGUCAAGUUGUAAGCUUGUUUAUGUAUUGGCUUUGAGCCAUAUUCAGUUUUUUGAAUGAAUUCAACAAGUUUUCAUCCAUAUGCUCUCCGUUUUUAGUUUUGCUUCAAAAUCUAUUUGAGUUUUCUGCAUUGUUUCUGCUGCAAGUCACGAGACUUGCUCAACAAGCAUUCUGUUGAAGCUUGCUGCUGUUGCACUUAGAUCCAACAAAACUACAUAAAUAUGUGAGUCCAACUUAAUUAGAAACAAGCAUAUUCCCCUGUCCAAUCGCAUCAAUAAUAAUCAUUCAACAAUCAUUAUAGUAUAUAUGAAAGCUCCAAGUUGUAUAGAAAAAGGCUUUUUUCUUUAAAAAAAAAAACAAAUUUUGCUUUAGGUUAGAUUUAUGCUGCUGAACAUUUCAUCUAAGUAAAAAUGGUCCACGUCUGCUAGCUAUAUUUAUCAGUUUAUAAAUCUUCAUACUCAUCUACUCUUUUUGAUUGUGUUUGUAAGUAAAGAAGGAAGAGUUAUGAUGUUAUCUUGUAAUGAAAUUUAUGUCAACAGGUUGUCAUUCCUCGUUUGGAGGAUCUGGAAUUGUCCUCCAUUAACAUUCAUAAGAUAUGGCACCACCCAUCUUCCCCAUCUGUCGGAUGCCUAAAUUCCUUGCAAGUGAAGAGGUGUCACAAUUUGAAAUACCUGUUCCCGUCUUUCUUGGUAAAAGAUCUUGUGCAACUCCGACGCCUUGAAAUUUUGGACUGUAAUAUGAUGGAACAAGUAAUAUUCACGGAUGGAUUGGUUGAAGAACAUCAAGGGAGGAAUCAGAUGCUUUUCUUUGAACUAGAAUUGCUGUGGUUAAAAGACCUUCCCAAACUCACAAGUUUCUGCUUUGAAAUUUGCUUUGAAUUCCAAUGUUUGACAGAUUUAGAACUAACAAAUUGUCCAUUGCUAAAAACAUUCAUCACUAAAUGUGUAUCCGAAGGUGAACCUGAAAUUGGCCAACAUGUACAAGCGAGUAACUUGGAGGUUCAUAACUCAUCUCUCCUCAAUGAAAAGGUCAUUUCUUUACGGGUUCUCCUUUUAAUUUAUGUUGCUUCGAUUGAUCUUAUUCAUUUGAAGUUCUUUCUUUUCCAUGCAUAUUUCAGUUAUUAACCUAAUGAAAUGAUUUAGCAGGUUGUUUUCCCUAGUUUGGAGAAGUUGCGGAUUCAGAAUUGUGAUUCGUUAGAACAAAUUAUUGAGCUGCAAGGAGUCAUUGCUGAUGAGUCACAGUCAACAUCAGCUGCUCAGUCUAUUAUGGCUGAAACAGAGACGACCAAGUUUGUAUUUCCCAAACUAAUAAACCUCGGAUUGGAUAAGGUGCCGAGAUUGAAAAGUUUCUACUCUAGGAUGCAUACCACCCAGUGGCCUUCAUUGAAACAAAUGGACAUUAUUGAAUGCCCCAAAGUACAGCUAUUUACUCCACAAUGUCCUGAGAGUCAGGUUGGAAUCUCAAACCAACAACCCUUGUUUUGCGUCAACGAGGUGAGCUCACUAACAGUUUCAUACUCCGUGUUCAUUACUUGAGAUUACCUAUAAAAUGCCUUUUGAAAUAACUAAUAUUCUUACCUUCCUUUUAAAUUUAUGAGAAAGAAAAUGGAAAUGAUAUUCAUUCUGUAGUCUAGUUCUUACCAAUUCAAAACUCUUUGAUCAAUGUUUAAUAUAUUCGUUGCCAUCCAGGACACUUUCCCUGUAUUAGAAGAACUGACACUGAAGACGAAUGAUAUGGUGAAGGGGAUAUGUGAUGGACAGCUCUCAUUGCAGUGUUUCCAAAACCUUAAACUUCUUAACCUCCAAUUCUUUCGUGAGGCAUCCACUACUCUUCCAUAUUCAUUCAUUCGGUCACUACCAAUGCUUCAUAAGCUUGUUAUAGACAAUGCUUCCAUUUGUCAAAUAGUACAAUCUGAAGGACUCAGCGACGAGGAAAGGCAUACAUCAGCAUUCUAUCAGCUAAAGGAAUUAAGUUUGUUUCAACUUCCAGAGUUGACGUUAAAGACUUUUGAACCAUCUUUGCUGUCUUUCAAAAAUCUAACAACACUGGAAGUUUCAAGAUGCCAUGGGUUCAUCAAUUUAGUCGCAUGCUCUACAGCUAAGUGCCUGAGGCUACUAGAAAGAUUGAGUAUAGAUGAUUGUGAGAAGAUAGAGGAAAUCAUAGCGUGUGAGGCUGAAGAAAUUCAAGGCGGCAUUGUAUUUCCCAAACUGAAGUAUUUGCAGCUAAGUUGUCUGCCAUGUCUAGCAAACUUUUCCUUGGCCCAUCACUCGUUGGAAUUCCCAGUCUUGCUAAUGGUGAUGGUGACAAAGUGCCCCCAAAUGAGGAGUUUCUGCCAAGGAGAUUUAAGCACACCAAGGCUGGAACAAAUGCACUUAACAAGAGAUGAGGAAGGUGAACUGCAGUGGAAGGGCGACCUUAACACUACCAUAAAACAUAUGUUCGAUGAAAUGGUACAAAUCAUUUAAAGGAUUUAAAUUCAUGUGUUUUUACAUACAUACAUACAUACAUACAUACAUACAUACAUACAUACAUACAUACAUACAUACAUACAUACAUACAUACAUACAUACAUACAUACAUACAUACAUAGUUAAUUGAACAAUUCUUGGUUUGUUAUGAUCAUGCACAGAAUGUGCAAAAUUCUGAGGUGACGGAGGUUACUGAUCGGUCGCCCAAGCUGGAAUAAGGAAAUAAGUUUGGGUGCGUAUGCGAAAUGCUCAAUUUCGUUUGAAUUCAAAACAAAUGGUAAUUCAUCUUCUAUUUUCAUCAUGGCUUAACUAAUGCUUUAUAAAGUGACCAUAGAGACGCCCUUUUCAUUGUAGGUUGAGUUGCUCUACUGAAGUACGAGGCUGCAACUUUUGGUAAAAUGUGAAAGGUUAUUUCAGUUUUUGUAAAACUACUAUUUGAACUGUUCCAUUUCACAUUAUACCCUCAAAAUUGAAUUUCAAGUGCAUCAUGCAUGGCAUUGGGCUACAAACAUGUAAACUUUUACUAGUAAGGUUGACCCCUGUUUUAAGGAUUUGCCAACUUUUGAUGGUUACCAUAUCAAUGUCAGCUUAAAGCUAUCAAGUAUCUUUACAAAUAUAAUAUAUAUUAUUCCUUAAUGAGGGAUAAAAGUAGGCAAUUAUCUACUAAUGAUACGGCUGAUUCUGAAAAGACGGCCGAAAUUGAAUCAAUGGGUUGUUGGUAUUUGCCUGAUGGAAGAACAGGGCCUAAUGUUAAGUGGAUUCUGAUCAAGUUUUAAAUUUUCAGUUGUAGGCUUUAUUGAUUGUUGCCAUUUGGUUGUUGAUCCUCUGAUUUUACGAUUGACUGUCUCGCUUAUACGUUGCAAGGUUGGCAGGUCUCAAGUAUGAAUUUCCAAGCCGGCCUUCAUCCAUAAUUAACCAAGUGUUCCAAUCCAUGGAGUUUAUGGUUUAUGGUUUAUUAGUGUAACUGUCCAUUUGGUUAUGGAUUGGUUCUUAAGGUGUUUUGAUGCUUUGUAUGUUACAGUGUUUGCUCCAAGCAACACGCUUUAAUUUCUAAUGAAUUUUAUUUGUUGAGGGAAAAAAAUAUGAGGAUUAAUCUGAUAUUUUUAUUUGUAUAUUUUAUAUCCAUUUUAUAAUUCAUAUUUGAGAUUUGUAUUAUGCCCUUAAUAUUUCAUUAUUUAUUGUCUAUGUUACUCAUUGUUGCAAAAAAGAAAAAAAAACAAACACAGUGCAUGCAUAAACCAUAAAAAAAAACAUAAGCAACUAAUAAUGAAAUAUAUUAAAAUGAAGAAUGGCAAUUGAUUUCAGAAUUACCCCAAUUUCGGUAAAUACAUUAAAACAUAUGUCUCUACUCGAUUUCAAUUUCGAAAUUGAAAAAAUUGGUAUUUCUAAAAAUAUCUAAGUUAUUCAAUUAUUUCUAUUUUUGAAAGUGAUAAAUUAAGGACAAUUAAUCACAACGUUAAUAUUUUUCAUCAAUUAUACAUAGUUUUCUUGGUAUAAUGAUAAAUUUAGCCCUCAAAGUUUACACAUUCUAUCAAAUUGUCAUCGAUUUAAAAAAUUUAACCCACAACAUUUACACAUUUCGUCAAUUUAAUCAUGAUUUAACAUAUUUAACCCGUAAUAAUUACACAUUCUAUCAACAUUUACGCAAAAUAUACAAUCAUCAAGGAUUAAAUUUAUUUUUAUACUAAUAAAAAAUAUGUAUAAUUAACAUAAACUAUUGGCGCUUGAUUAAUUGUUCGUGGUUACUUUCAAAAUUGAUAAGGAUUAAUUGUUCGUGGUUACUUUCAAAAUUGAUAAGGAUUAAACUAUUCUAUUUCUUUUAGAGUGACCAAUUUGUUCAAUAUCAAAAAAAUAUUUUUUAUUUUUUUUAAUUUCAUAGGUAAGAAAAUCUCAAAUCACACAAUUAUUAUUUUUCCUUCCAUACCCCUAUGCCACCGAAGAAAAUUUACAAUGUCACACAAUUUGGCUUUAAACCCUUAAAAAAGAGUUGAAUUUAAUCAUCAAUUUUUUAAAAAGAAUUAAAUUAUUAUUUAACGGAAACAAUAAAUUUUGAAAUACAUAUAAUAAUUCACGCGUAUUUCAUAUAUAUUUUUAAUUUUUAUGAUUGUAAUACCAAUUUUUUCUGCCCGGGCCUAUACAAAAUAAAAUACAGCAGGCCCAUCUACAGACCAAACCCAUAUUCAAAAAAAACCUAGCCUAAGAAGCAGCAAGCUUCAGCCGCAUGCCCAACAGCAGCCUCCCUAACUGCCGUCGCAUCCUCCGCGCACGUACACCUCUUCCACGGCCUCCAUACCUACGAGAAAAGCGGAUCCAAACAGCAAUAGACGCAACAAAUAAUGAAAUAGGAUUUUUUACUUUUAUUUUGCUGUAAUUUUGGCUAUAAAAAGCCAUCAAAAAUCUGUAAAAUGGGGGGAACCAAUAUUGUAUUGAGAGAAUACUGAAAUACAAAAAUAGGGAGAAAAUAUUGAGAUUACAAAGAGAUUUUUGAAGGUGAAUCGUGUUUAUUUUUUUCCAUUUUUUCCAUUCUUUUUUAUUUUAUUUUUUAUUUAUUUUUAAUUUAAAAUAUAAAGAAGGGAGGAAGGACUUACCUCUCUCGCCGGAUUCGUAUAUAUAUUUAUAUAUAUAAAAAAUAUUUCUCUAAUACAUAUACAUAUUUUUAUAUAUAUAUUGUUAUUAUUUCUUUUUUAGCUUUUAUAUACAUAUAUACGUAUAUACAUUUAUAUUUCUAUUAUAUUUAUAUAUACAUUCUUUUAAAAUUAUUAUAAACAUUUUAUUGUUCUACACAUUCCAUUAUUUUCAUAUUGCACCUAUAUAUAUAAGUAUCUAAAUAAGUACAUAUUUUCAUGAUUGACCUACUUAUAUACUCAUACAUUUUUAUUUUGUAAAUAUAUGCACGUAUACAUAUGUUUUUUUAUUUUUAUCUUCACAAUUUUCACAUACAUAUGUACAUGCAUAUUAUUAUAAGUUUUGUUUUGUAUAUUUCAUUCCCUUUUAUGUACACUUAUAUUUUUUAAAAUGUAUGCAUAUACAUGUUUUCAAAAUUCAUUUAUGCUUUAUACUUAUAUUUUGAAAACACAUAUAUACAUAUAAUUUAAAUUAAAAUAUUUGUAUCAUAUUGUACAUUACCUUUUUAACGUACCCUUUUUGAAAAUAUGUUUUGGUUUUAACCAUACAUCAAAGUUAUUUUCUCGCUCCAAAGGUUUUUUUUUUUGAAUAAAAGCAAUGUUCGAAGCUUGAGAUUUUCGAGGGAAAUUGAGCCCUAACGUAUUGGGUUCAGAUUUUCUUUGUUAAUCUUAAAUAACCGAGGAUAUUCUUUAUUCAAAAUGCAUGAGCAUAAAAAUCAUUUUUGGGAACUUAACUUGUCGUGCCCUAACGUAUUGGGUGUGGCAUGUUACUUUCUCGAAAUAAAUAUUUUCGCAUGAAAUAAAAGUGAUAUUCAAAGUUCGGGGAUUAUGAGGAAUUGUACCCUAACGUAUUGGGACUCGAUUUCUUUACAUGACUUGAACAAUUUGUUAUCCUUUUACAAAUUUCAUCAUUCAAGCUUAUUUUAAAAUCUUUUUAACUUUCGACACUAAGACAUUAAAUGAUCAAUUUGGUACCGAUUUUGGGCGUCACGAGGGUGCUAACCCUUCCUCGUGCGUAACCGACUCCCGAACUCGUUUUCUCAAAAUUCGUAGACCAAAAUAAUUUUUAAGGUGACCCGAUCACACCUUAAUAAAAGAUCGGUGGCGACUCCAGUUUUGUUUUAAAAGUCGACAACUAAAAUUUUUGUUUUUCAAAAAACGGUUUCGACAGCUUGGCGACUCCACUGGGGACACUAAAGAGUCGAGCCAUAAAUUGGUUAUUUGUUCGUCUUGUGAUCGAAAAUCAAAUUUGGGUUUUAAAAUCAUGAUUUCCCUUCAUUUUUUUUACCAUGGAAUGUUGGUAACCUUGCAUUUGCAUUUUGCAUUUUACCCUUAAGUGGGAGCGAGAAACUAGUCCUUCGUGAGGUUUUCACCUCCGUGCAGGGUAAUGGACCGCUUCCGGGAUACAUCCGUACCUAUGUCUUCGUGAGAUUUUCAUCUCCGUGUAGCCAUAGGGAAAUGUGUCCCCCUGAACCGAACUCGAUCCACAUGAGCCUAUAAUGGGUGAGGAUCGAGGAAUCUGCUGGUCGGGUACCUUUACUCUAGAAACUAAACCUCAUAUAGUGAGCUUUAGGAACUUACCUUAGGUAGAAGUACUCUAAACCUUAGGAGAUACCUGACUAGGAGUUUUUAUUAUUUCUUGCUUAUAUUGGAUUUAAUGUUUAUACCCGAUACUAACUCGUUGCAUUUUGUUUUGAUUGCAUGACAUCAUGAUCGCAUUGCAUUUUCAUCAUAAAAGAGGUGUUGAUUCACGUUCGGUUGUUAAUAGAGAGCUUGUCAUAAGGAAAUGGGUUUCUUGAUAAAAUAGAAAAUAAUACGGUUGCCCGAAUAUGUUCCGAGAAAACACAACAAGAGAAAGAUGAUAGUUUAAUGGAGGACUACAUAACCAUUGCUUCGUUGCCCGAAGACUCAAGCUGAUGAAGGCUAUUCGAGAGCCGCUGAACUUUUUGUUUAAGGGAAGCCAACGAGCAUCACGACGAUAAAGGAGCAACGAAGAACAGUCCGGAUCAAGUAAAAUGGAGAUAGAAGAGACAUCUAUUUUGAAGAAUUCACAAGAUUUAUCUUAGCAUCCAGAUGAAGAAGGAGAAGAUGUCCUCGCUUGGAGCAUGAGGGCAAAGCCGUAUAUAUAUAUCUGCUUUAUGUAAAGAAAUUUAUCUUCUAGAAAAGUUUUCUAAAUAGAAUUGAAUCAGAAUCAACGUCUCUUUUUGCAUUCAUCAAAUGCAUUUGCAUUACAUAGCAUCAUAUGCAUUAAAAUCCAUUGAAAGAGCCUAAUUAAUUAAAAUUAUUGCUUAGUUAACCUGGAAACCAACCAACCAACCCGACACCGAUACGGCACUCGAGCAAAGACAAAAGAUAUGGAUCAGAGAUUAGAGAAGCUCGAACAGUACCAGAAGGAGAUGCAAGACCGGCUUCAGCUACAAAUGCAGGAACGGUUAGACAAGAUGAAACAGGAGAUGUCUGAGAAGAUGCGGAAUCUCAAGAGGACAUAGUGGCAAAGUUAACCCGAUUGAUAACUAAAGGAGGUGAUAAAGGAAAGGGCCCCAUGGCAGAUGUCGAUGAGGGAAAUGAUGAUGAACUUUUCUAUCCUCCAGGUUUCAUCCCUCCACAUGAGCGAACUCAAGCUGAAUACCCGUGCAAAUCUACUGUCACCAUCAUGCCUCAGCAAUUUCGAGCUGGUAUUUCGAACCACCAAACUGGGCCGAGCUUUAAUCCUGAAAAUAAUCCUAUUAACUCUGCCAUUCCUGACUUUGAUGAAGUGGUUGAGAAGGAAAGAAUGAAGGAAAAGUUACCGAAACAGUUGGAAGAAAGAUACAGGUGGCUCGAAGAGAAGUUCAAGGCGAUGGAAGUCACUGAAAGUUAUCGAGGCAUUGACGCAAAAAAGCUGAGUUUAGUGCCAAAUUUAGUACUCUCUCAUAAAUUUAAGAUGCCUGAAUUUGAAAAGUACAAUGGGACAAGCUGCCCAGCAGCUCACAUCACCAUGUUCUACAGGCAAAUGGCUGGAUACGUUAACAAUGACCAACUAUUGAUACACUGUUUCUAAGAUAGCCUAGCAGGGGCAGCAUCUAAGUGGUACAAUCAGUUGAGUCGUGCCACGGUUGGUUCAUGGAGGGACUUGGCGCAAGCAUUCAUGAAACAAUAUAGUCAUGUGACAGAUAUGGCUCCUGAUAGAAUCACCCUUCAGAAUAUGGAGAAGAAGCCGAGCGAAAGCUUUAGGCAGUAUGCACAGAGAUGGAGGAAGGUCGCAGUCCAAGUUCAGCCACCACUCUUGGAAACGGAAAUGGCCAUGCUAUUCAUUAACACCCUAAAAGCACCUUUCAUCACACAUAUGUUAGGAAGUGCCACAAAAAGCUUUCCUGACAUAGUCAUGAAUGGUGAAAUGAUUGAGAGCGCUAUAAGGAGCGGGAAAAUUGAGACAGAUGAGAGUAAUAAGAGGUCAAUCUCAAGAAGAAGAGAAAAUGAGGUGGACAACACGGGUUACUCUAAAUCAGUUACUGUGAGUCAAACAAGAAAGGUGGUUGGUAAUCAACAGAAUUCAUCGAGGCAAGAUUCCGGCAUAAAGACUGAGAGGCCCCAAUUCACGCCAAUUCUGGUACCGUAUAAGGAACUGUAUCAAAAUUUGUUUGAUGCACAUGUUGUUUCCCCUUUUCAUGUGAAGCCUCUACAACCGCCGUAUCCUGAAUGGUAUGAUACGAACACACAAUGUGAAUAUCAUGCGGGAAUUACGGGACACUCGAUUGAGAAUUGCACUGCCUUCAAGAAGCAAGUUGAAAGACUUAUCAACAUGGGUAUUGUCAAGUUUGGUGACUCGUCCAGCGCAGGAAAUCCGCUACCCAAUCAUGAUUGAGGAUGGAGGGACUGCAAUAUAUGAAGAAGUGGUGAGAAAUUUGCACAUCGAUGCGGACACAAUUAAAAGGGUCCUUGUUAGAUAUUCGCCUUAGAGGUGUUCUAAAUAAUGGGACUGCAAAGGAAACCCCUAAAAUAUUUAGAGUCUGUUAGAGUAAUGUUAAGAACACACUUGUUGCUUUCAGCCUAGAAGCAAUAGGAGUUUCUUUGUGAAAUAGGCUCACGUCUGAACAUUAUUAUUUUAAUGAAAUACAUUAUUGCAAUCAUCUUUGAGCAAAUGUUCUUUCAUUCUUUACGAUUUCUUUAUUUUUUUUCCUUUCAGAUUUUUUCUGCCAAAUUAUUCGUUCAUUCGUUCAUAUUAUUCAUACAUUCUUUUGUAUAUUCUUUGGUACCCACUAUGGGUCCCCAAAUAUCAAUGACAUGAGUGACGCUGCUACAGACUCAAAUCGCCUUUUGAGUGAGACAUGUGUUUAGAGGGAUCUCAUGGCUUUGAAGAUGUCAUAAAUUGCAGCUUAUCUCCUAACUUGUUGAGGAUGGUAAAGCAAUAAGAGAAACAAAUGAGACAGCAGAGACUACGACCUUGAGAAAACAUGCAUGACCGAAGAAUAAAGCAAGACGUUGCUGAGUUACUUCAAGCAUCCAAAGAUGCCUUCGCAGGGUCAUACCAGAAUGUGCCCGGUUUAAGCGAGGUCAUUACAAUCUGAACAACAGCACGAUAUCAAAAGUUUGCAACAUGUUCAAGGUGAAUAUCAUGAAUGGUGCAAUGAAAACUCUACCGGGGCAAUGCCACUCUUUCCAGUUUAUCACGUUUUUUCAUUGAAGUUGAAAUUCUUUCUAUUCGAGUUUUGGCUGAGCUAAGGUAGGAUGAAGAUCCAAUCCCGAUACGAUUAGUUGAACUUAGUUGAAGAAAAAGGCUAGAAACUAUUCAUCAGGCUCAGAUGCACCAAGAAAUGAAUGAUGCGAGCCUAUAGCAAAAGGUUUGUCCCAGAGAAUUCCACGAUGGCAACCUAAUGCUAAAGAAGAUCCUCACUCUACAAAAAAAUAUAACGGAUGCCAAAUUGGGAAAAAAAUUAUGUUAUAGAGAAGGUCUUUUCCAAAGGAGUUUUGAUUUUGGGCGAGAUGGAUGAUAAACCUGCAAAGUCCUGUAAACUCAGGUUCAGUCAGGAAAUACUCCGCUUAAAGAAUGAGAUGACCAAGGUGAAAACCCACAAAGGGUGCUUUGAGUCCAAAAAAAUAAAAAUAAAAAAAGAGAAAAAGAGGAAAAUGGAGAGGCUAAGGUGAAAACCCGUAAAGGGCGCCUUAGACCAAAGGGGAUUUGAGUUGAAAACCCGAAAAGGGCGGCUCAAAUAUUGAUUAGAAUGGGGCACGAGAUUAUCGGAGUAGCUCAAAUACUGAUCAGAAUGGGGCAUGCAAUGGUCUUGCUAUACCUAAAUCAACAAGAAAUGGUAGGCGACAUCUUGGGGCAUCGACAAAGUAUUCCUAAACGCAUGUCAAACUCAGAAUGAUCUUCAGAAAGUCUGUACAGCAAAGUUCAAGCUGCGAUAUUUGGGGCACCUAAUUCUUAUAUUAUUUUUUGUUAUUCUUGGAACACUUCAUUCAUUUCCAAAAUACGCAUUCCUAAAUCAAUUUCUUUAUUAUCCAUCUUUAUUAUAUUUGACAAUUUAUUCAUUUCGAGCUUUGCUCAGAACCAACUCUAUUCUUAUCCAUGGUCUUUUUGCAAGCAUGUUUCAUUAGAAUAAUGAUUCAUAGACUAAUAAAACUUUCACAAGGGAAGUUUUGCAUAUUACUCUAGAAGUUUCUAAAUAAUAUAGGAUCCUCAAACAGGACUAUUGUUUAGAAUGCACUAGGUUGGAAAUCUGAUAAGGAAAAGUCUAAAUUAAGACUAUCCCUUUGAAUUUUCUUGUCUAAAGUAUUAAUUGAACAAAAUGGCAAGAUGUCGUGUUGGUGACAAAGCUUCAAUGAACAAGCAAGCAAUGAUCACCGGAUAAUAAUAAGAAGUUGUUCUUGGAGAAGAUUACUUUAUUUGUGCAUGAGCAUUUGGUACAACACCCUGGGAAUGGUGUAAGAGACCAAAGAGUUUCACAUCCUUGAAUUGUGAUAGUGGAGGAUUAAGAAAAGGCCAAAACUUUUUACUCUCGGGUUACAACGGGAGGAAGAUGGUACAAAUUUUCGCAUACCAUUGAAUCAAACUUGGAGGUUUACAGUGGGGGCAACCUGGUCAAGUGUUUCUUUGGAGACGCCAGCCGAGCAAAAGGUGCUAUAGCACAUUAGCGAUGAAACUUUAAAUAAACUUUGAGUAAUGAUAACCUAAGUGAAAAUGAGGGAUCAUUCUCGAAAAAAUGACAUUCUGCAUUCAUUCAAAUGUCAUUCAUACACGCCUAGUUAGGAGCAUUUGAUUCAUUUGAUCAUGACAUCCUAAUCAUUAGGCAUAGUUAGGUUCAUAAAGUGAAUUAUACAGGUCAUGUUCCCUAGAGAACAGAUCGGUGAAAUCAUAAAGCCUUAUCUCCCUGAACAAUAGUGGAGCAGGUUGAAAAGCAGCAGGUCUUGUCUUCCUAUAUUGGUAGCGAAGUGGAUCGAAUAUACAGAUCUCGCCUUCCCAUACUGGUGGCGAAGCAGAUCGAAGGAAAAAACAGAUCUUGUCUUAUGGCGUGAAGUAGAUCAAAGAUAACAGAUCUCGCCUUCCCAUACUGGUGGCGAAGCAGAUCGAAGGAAUACAGAUCUUGUCUUCAUGUACUAGCGUGAAGUAGAUCGAAUAUACAGAGCUCGCCUUCUCAUACUGGUGGCGAAGCAGAUCGAAAGAAAGUAGAUAUUGUCUUCAUGUAUCAGCGUGAAGUAGAUCAAAGUCAACAGAUCUUGUCUCCCCAUACUGGUGGUGGAGUAGAUCAAAGAAAGUAGAUCUUGUCUUCAUGUAUCGGCAUGAAGUAGAUCAAAGUCAACAGAUCUUGUCUCCCUAUACUGGUGGUGGAGUAGAUCAAAGAAAGCAGAUCUUGUCUUCAUGUACUGCAUGAAGUAGAUCAAAGAAACAAAUAUUGUCUCCCCAUACUGGUGGUGGAGUAGGUCGAAGAAAACAGAUCGUGUCUUCAUGUACUGGCGUGAAGUAGAUCAAAGAUAGUAGGUCCCGUCUUCCUAUAUUGGUAGCGAAGUGGAUCGAAUAUACAUCUUCCCAUACCGGUGGCAAAGUAGAUUGAAGAUUACAGAUUUUGCCUCCCUAAGCAGUAGUGGAGCAGAUCGAAGAUGGCGGAUUUUACCUCCCUGAAGUUGCAGUGGAGUAUAUUGAAGCCAGUAAUUCUACCUCCCCGGUCGGCAGUGGAAUCGAUUGAAAAAGCAGAUCUUGUCUUCAUGUAUUGGCGUGAAGUAGAUCGAAGAAAGUAGAUCGAAGAAAGCAUAUCUUGUCUUCCCAUACUGGUGGUGAAGUAGAUCGAAGAUACAAGUCUUAUCUCCCUGAAGUUGCAGUGGAGCAGACUGAAGUAACCAAUCCUAUCUCAUUGAAGUUGCAAUGGAGUUGAUUAAAACCGCAGAUCUCAUCUCUCUGAAGUUGCAGUGGAGCAGAUCGCGCCAGAUUUAUCUUUAAGUUGCAGCAGACCAAAUUGAAACUAUAAGUCUUGUCUCCCUGAAGUUGUAGUGGAGCAGAUUAAAGAUAGCAAAUUUAGUUCUUUUGAGAAGCUACAAUGUAUGAAUCCUAUCUCUUCGACAUUACAGUAGGAGUGGAUUGAAGCACCAGUUCCUAUACCUCUGGAGAUGUAGUGGGAAGGAACGAGGCUACUAACGCUAAGGUCCAUAUGGCCGGGCAAAAAUUGGUCUUUUUAAGUCAUUGCUCUAUUCUCGUCACACGAUAACGAGCAAAGAGGGGCAGCUGUAAUACCAAUUUUUUCUGCCCGGGCCUAUACAAAAUAAAAUACAGCAGGCCCAUCUACAGACCAAACCCAUAUUCAAAAAAAACCUAGCCUAAGAAGCAGCAAGCUUCAGCCGCAUGCCCAACAGCAGCCUCCCUAACUGCCGUCGCAUCCUCCGCGCACGUACACCUCUUCCACGGCCUCCAUACCUACGAGAAAAGCGGAUCCAAACAGCAAUAGACGCAACAAAUAAUGAAAUAGGAUUUUUUACUUUUAUUUUGCUGUAAUUUUGGCUAUAAAAAGCCAUCAAAAAUCUGUAAAAUGGGGGGAACCAAUAUUGUAUUGAGAGAAUACUGAAAUACAAAAAUAGGGAGAAAAUAUUGAGAUUACAAAGAGAUUUUUGAAGGUGAAUCGUGUUUAUUUUUUUCCAUUUUUUCCAUUCUUUUUUAUUUUAUUUUUUAUUUAUUUUUAAUUUAAAAUAUAAAGAAGGGAGGAAGGACUUACCUCUCUCGCCGGAUUCGUCGAGUCGGCGCUAUCUCCGUCACAGUCGGAGCCUUGGCGCGAGGCUGAGCGACGGCGUUCGAGGGUUGAGGAAACCCUAAAAGGGUCUGGUUUCUCCUCUGGAAAGGGAAACCCAAAAGAACAAAUAAAUGUUCUUGUUUAAUUUUCUUUUGUUCUUUUAGAAGCUAAAAGAUGGACAAAGCAGGCCGUUUGGUUUUUGGGGUGGGGUCCGCGCAUAUCAACCUUAAAUGGGAGAUUUGCGCUACUAAUCCCUCUUUUUUUUGUGACGUGUUUUAAUCAAGUCCACUGUUUUUUAAAAUUUGGCCCAAAUAUUUUGCUCGCGUGACGAUUUAAUCCAUGUCACUGCACAGUGCUUCAGCGAUUUGGGAAAAUUACUUUUUAAGUCCUCCUCUCAUGGCGCGCGUAUCAUUUUGGUCCUUCCUGGUGUUUUCUAUUUUUAAAUUUGGCCUUUUAACUUCGUUUAGCUCUCAGUUUAAUCCUUAAUGGUGCUUUUUAAGGUUUUUUUUUGUAGUUUAUUUUUUUAGUUUUUGUUAUUAUUAUUAUUAUUAUAUUAUAUAGUAUUAUAAUUAUACUUACAUAUAUACGCAUAUGUAUGCUAAUAGAUAUAUAUAUAUAUAUAAAAUAUUUCUCUAAUACAUAUACAUAUUUUUAUAUAUAUAUUGUUAUUAUUUCUUUUUUAGCUUUUAUAUACAUAUAUACGUAUAUACAUUUAUAUUUCUAUUAUAUUUAUAUUUUUUUUUUCAUAUUUUAUAAUAUAUAUACAUUCUUUUAAAAUUAUUAUAAACAUUUUAUUGUUCUACACAUUCCAUUAUUUUCAUAUUGCACCUAUAUAUAUAAGUAUCUAAAUAUGUACAUAUUUUCAUGAUUGACCUACUUAUAUACUCAUACAUUUUUAUUUUGUAAAUAUAUGCACGUAUACAUAUGUUUUUUUAUUUUUAUCUUCACAAUUUUCACAUACAUAUGUACAUGCAUAUUAUUAUAAGUUUUGUUUUGUAUAUUUCAUUCCCUUUUAGGUACACUUAUAUUUUUUAAAAUGUAUGCAUAUACAUGUUUUCAAAAUUCAUUUAUGCUUUAUACUUAUAUUUUGAAAACACAUAUAUACAUAUAAUUUAAAUUAAAAUAUUUGUAUCAUAUUGUACAUUACCUUUUUAACGUACCCUUUUUGAAAAUAUGUUUUGGUUUUAACCAUACAUCAAAGUUAUUUUCUCGCUCCAAAGGUUUUUUUUUUUUGAAUAAAAGCAAUGUUCGAAGCUUGAGAUUUUCGAGGGAAAUUGAGCCCUAACGUAUUGGGUUCAGAUUUUCUUUGUUAAUCUUAAAUAACCGAGGAUAUUCUUUAUUCAAAAUGCAUGAGCAUAAAAAUCAUUUUUGGGAACUUAACUUGUCGUGCCCUAACGUAUUGGGUGUGGCAUGUUACUUUCUCGAAAUAAAUAUUUUCGCAUGAAAUAAAAGUGAUAUUCAAAGUUCGGGGAUUAUGAGGAAUUGUACCCUAACGUAUUGGGACUCGAUUUCUUUACAUGACUUGAACAAUUUGUUAUCCUUUUACAAAUUUCAUCAUUCAAGCUUAUUUUAAAAUCUUUUUAACUUUCGACACUAAGACAUUAAAUGAUCAAUUCGGUACCGAUUUUGGGCGUCACGAGGGUGCUAACCCUUCCUCGUGCGUAACCGACUCCCGAACUCGUUUUCUCAAAAUUCGUAGACCAAAAUAAUUUUUAAGGUGACCCGAUCACACCUUAAUAAAAGAUCGGUGGCGACUCCAGUUUUGUUUUAAAAGUCGACAACUAAAAUUUUUGUUUUUCAAAAAACGGUUUCAACAAUGAUUUUUUUUCAAAAUUUUGAUUUUUGAAUAUUAUUAGAAAAUUAUUUGGUACAUUGUUCGUGGAGUUUUUAAACUCCAACAAAAUUAAUAGGUUAACAAGUGUCUUACAGGGGUAUAAUAAAAUAUUAAAAAAUAAAUAUUUAAAAAAAAGAUAUAUAUCAAUUUUUUAAAGUUACUUGUGGAAUAAAAAUAAUAUAUUAUCGGCGUACCAAAUACUCGCCUUUUUAAUUAAGAUUCAAAAAUAAAAAAAAGUUAGUAAAAUGAAUGGAUUGCAAAUUGAGAAAUUUGAUAUUGAAUACUAAAAUUUUCUUAAAAGAAGACAUAACAAGAUACGAAAGUUAGUGACUUAUUUGAUUUAAUUUUAAUUUUUAAAUUUAUGCAUUUUAUUAUGAAUUUUUAUUCUUUGUUGACUUUGUAAAAUUUGUCUGCAAUUUCCAAUUUUCAUUUCUCAUAUGAGUUUGAGAUAUAAAAAAAAUUACUCUUAAGAUUGGUGAAAUAGGGGUUACAGUCGAUACAAGAGUUCACUUUAUGAUAUGUGUAAUGAUUGUGUUCUUCGAAAUAUUGUUUACAGGUAGGAUAUUGAAGUUUUAUUAUUAGAGUUUCGUUAAAAGGUCAAGUGUUCUAUUUUGGCCUAAGACUCUAGGAGUUCUGUUAUCAAUAUUCUAAUUAUAAUCACGAUCUGUAAAAAAUAUAAGUAACAUGUGACAUGUAAAUGAAAAGUUUUAUGGUAUGAUAAGCCAUAAAUUAAGUGAAAAUGUUAGAAAGCGUAUGAUUAUAUUAAAGACAAAAAUAAUUAAUUUAGUUUAAUGAUUUGUAAAAUUGAAAAGUGAAAUGCAUGAAUUAUGUAAGAGAAUGUUCAUGAUCGAUAUGUGGUAUGUAAAUGACAAGGAAAAAAUUAUAUGACCAAAUAGUAGAAGUGAAUAAUGACAUUAGCUAAAUACUUUGUAUGUUCAAUAGUAGGUUGCGUUAACAGGCCUGCCCUCUAUGUGGCUUGGCUGUAGUUUAUUGCACCUUUGUACUUCUUUCUUUUAUGAAUAAAAUCAAUGUUGAUUAGAAAAAAAAGAAAACAAAAACAAAAACAAAUAGUAGAUAGCAACAAACAAAGAAAAAGAAUCUCAUGCCCCACUAACAUUUUUUUUUGUACGUUUAGUCAAAAUGAAUAUAAUUAAAAAUAUUAAAUAGAUGCCAAUUGAGGUUUAGUGUAGUUGAUAUUGGUAUUAUUAACUUUGCUCAGUCCAUAUUCCCAUAAUAUACGAUGGUCAUAUGUGAGUUUUAAUCUAGUUAAUUUAAUUUGUUGGCUUUAGUUUUGAUUGUACCGACUUUUAUUCUCGUUCUGCUCUAAUAAUUUGAUUCUAUUUUGUAAUUCUUUAUAUAAUUCGUGCUGUAAUGUUUGAUACUUGUAACAAACAAAUACAAUUUAAAAAAUAGCUAGUAUUUGGUACACUGUUAGAAUAUUAUUAUGAGAAAUUAUCUUUUAGGAAUAUCUAAAUGUAUUGUAUAUUAUUAUAUAUCUUUUAAGCAUAUAUUUAGGAAUAUAUUAUAUAUCUUUUCUAUUCCUACAUGACUACUGUUGUAUAAAUAUUAUGUAUAUUCUUGAAGCUUAUCAAUAAGAUUGAAAGGAAUUAUUACCCUAUUCUUAUCAUGGUAUCUAAGCUUGAUGUUUAACAAAAAAAAAAAAUCGUUGUUUGGUAGACUUCCUUUAAUUGAUGAUCUUUGUGUGUUUGGUUGCGUAUGUUUUGUUCAUAAUCAACAUUCUAAAGGUGAUAAGUUUAUUAGUCAAAGUCAAAAGCGUGUUUUUGUUAGCUACCAUUUUGUCAAAAAUAAAUAAAAAUAUAUUUUAAUAUAAGACAUUUUGGGACUGUUGACAUGUCAUUUCUGAGUUGUUUCCACGAAAUGCAAUCGAUACAUAAAUUAAUCAAUAGAAUAGCAUCGACUCUCAAAGACGAUAUCUAAACCUUGGAAACAUUCUUCCUUAUUUCUUGUCUUUUUCUACUUUGAUUGUGAUGUGAUUUGUUUGAUUCUAACCACUCCAUUAAAUAAAUCAUCCAAAAACAUAUAUUAAUGCGAGGAAUAGGUGGUUGAAGAAAGAGAAAGCAAAAAUAAUAAUAAUAAAAGGAAAUUAAUUAGGAAAAUGACCUUAUAUGAAAACACUCAUACAAUUGGAUAACUCAUUCACUCCACCUUUAAGAGGAGAAAAAGAAAAACCUUGUUUAUGUAAUACAUGGAUACCUAAUAAUUCAUUUAUACUUUGGUAUAAGACAUUUUGGGUUGUUAUUUCUGGGCUGUUUCCAUGAAAUAGAAUCGAAACUUGCUUUCCUACUUUUAAAGCAACUAAGAAGUCGUCUUUCUCAAUUUAUUACUUUCUGGCUAUGCUCUGUUAAGAAGAAAAACACAGAAGGGGGAAAACUAUCGGUUAUUGAUCAAAGCCAAAAGGUACUCCAUCUGCUUUUCUUUUCCCUGCUUUGCUCUUACUCUUUUGAAAUAAGCUUAGGCAGGCAGGUUUAACCAUGAGAAUAGACUUCUUUUAUGCUUUAAAUCUCUAAAAAGGGAUGAGUAUUAGGAAUGCUGCAUAAGCACUUGUGUUUGGGAUGUAUCAACAACUUGCUGCUUCAUGGUUAUUCAGAGGUUGGGUGAUUUCUCUUGUAGUCGACCACCUUUUUUUUAUUCGAUGCUUUAUUUCCAUUCAAAACUAUGUAUGGUUGGAAAGCUGGUUUGAUAGUCCACUAAAAUUAUAUGAAGAAUCAUUUAAAAAAACAAAUUAAAUAUAUAUUUUUUAUAUAUUUAAAAGUGUUUGUUUAUAUAUUAUUUAGAAAUUGCUUUUAUAACAUAAUAUACUAUUUUGAAAUUUGGAAUUUAAUAUUUAAAGAAUUAACUAAUUUAAAAAAUGUGCAGCGAACUAAAAAAAAAGAACAUUAAUGAACAAAAAAUUUUUUCUUAUAUAUUGUAAAAUUAUUGUUAGAAAUUUUUAGUAUAACAAAAAGAUAUUAUUGAUAUUAGUCACUCUUAUAUAAUGUAAAAACUAAAAUCAAACUUCCGUAAUUAUUUAUAUGAUUAAUAUUUUAACGAUUUAACCGUUUAAUUUAUCAAUAUAUAUAUAAUUGUACUUGUAAUGCAUGUAAAUUUUUGAACUGAUUCGAUAUCUCUAUCGUAUCGAUCUAAAAUAAUCUAUACACUAAUAUAUAAUCAACGAUUGAAUUUUUUUUACAAAAAUAAAAUAGUUAGAAGUUUUAAAUUUACAUCAAAUUUGACAUGUAUAACCUAUAUGAAUAGACCAUAAAAUAUAACAGUUGGAUCGUUAAAAUAUUAAUUAUAUAAAUAGUUACGGAAGUGUGUAAAAUUCCUUUAGCUUUUACAUAUAUAAGUGGAUCCUUCUCCUUAAUGUUAAUAAAUUUUAAUUUUGUUAUCACAUAAUAUUAAAAAUAUGAAUUAAUAUUAAAAAAUAAAUAAAAAAUAUAAAUAUAAAUAAAGUGAGUAUUUGGUACACUGACAAUGUACUUUUUUUAUUCCAUAAGUAGUCUUAAAAUAUUGACAUAUGUCUCUAUCUUUUAAAUAUAUUACUAUACAUUUGUAAGAUACUUGUCAACCUCCUGACCCUACUUGUAGAGUCUAAAACCUCCACUUACUAAAUAAGUUCCACAAUUUAUUAUUAAUAUUUAUUAGACAAAACAUGUUAUCGAACAAAAUAAAUUAAUUAUUAAUAAACACAUAUGAAAUAAAAUAUAAAUAGAAUGAUUUAUAAUUAAUUUAUUAAAUAUGAAUCAAAUAAAAACAUAAGAAAAAGUUGAAAUAAAUAAGAAUUGAGAUUUUACGAAACAUUGAGGCCUGUGAAACACAGUUUCCUUAAGAUAGAUUUGGCCGCUCCUACGGUACUUGGAGAAAUGUUAGUCGAAAGUCUCCCAGGAAACAAUAACAAAAGUGAUCAAAGUAGUAAACGAACGAAUUUUGCCUUUUUCUAUCACAAGAAUGUUUGAAAACAGAGAGGAAAAGGAAGAGUUUUUAAAUGAACAGAAUUUUGGCAUAAAAAAUUAUUUGACUGUGUUUAAUCCUCCAGAAUACACAACCUUUUAUAGGCAUUUAGGAUAACGAGCAAAAAAUCAAUUUGAUUUAAAAAUUAAAUCAAAUCAGAUACUGUCCAUAUAUAAGCAGAUUAUGUCUACUGAGGAAAAAUAAAUUCGUGUUGGGCAUAAAAUAUCCGCAAGGGUUAAAAUAUCCGCAUGGGCCCGACCGGUCCAAACAUUUCGCGUUGCCCACGUCAUGCAGGUGCACUCAACCCCAUUAGAUUUGGACCUACACCCCCCUUACGCUUGAGACAAUGUUACAAGCUUCGUUAUUCAAUUAUUUUUAAAGAGAGUUCACAUACAUAAGCACAUUGGUAUUUAACCAAUGUGGGAUCUGAGCCUUUACUUUUUCUCAACAAUAUUUUCAAGUAGCUUACUUUGAGCAUCAAUUUCUCAUUCACCACUCAACCAUUUUGAGCAUAUGAUAUACCAUUGUAAAGGUCUCAUGGAGUAGAAUAGAAACCGUAAAAUUAUGAUUCAACUCUCCACUUUUAACUAUUGAGAAUAUGCCUCAAAGUUUCCAUAAAAGUAAUUCUUCCAACAAUAUUUUUAAACUCCAUCAAUAAGGUCAAGAGAUUGACAAGUGUUUUAUAAGAGUAUAGUAAAAUAUAAAAAAAAUUAAAAAUUUUAAAAAAGAGACACUUAAACUUUUUAAAAUGGCUUGUGGAAUAAAAAAAUAUUGCUAGUAUACCAAAUAAUCACCCAUAAAUUAUUGCUUUAAUCAAAAUAUAAGAAAUAGGUAUAAUUUUGAAUUAGUUUAAAUUAAUUUAAAAGAAAUUUAAUUUCAUGAUAAAAAAUUUAUAUUUCAAAAUAAUUAGAAAGAUUUAAUUUUUAAAUAAUAAUUAAAAAAAUUUAAAAGAUGUGUUGUAAAAAUAUUCAAAGUGUAAAAAGGCAAUUUAUUCCUUCAAUGCUUAGGAAAAAGUAUUCCUUAAAAAAAGAUAAUUAUUAGAAAAUAUCAUUAGAUAUAUGUCUAUAUUAAUAAAUAGUUAUCUAUUAACAAAAUCACUUUAUUUGUCAUAAAAGUAACAUUAAGCACAUAUUUAUAAUUUUAAAAUUUUAACCCUUCAAUGGUAGUUAAGAUUAUGCAAAUGAGUUUUCUUUUUCUUUCUUUUUUUUAAAAUAUAAGAUAAUUCAAGUUUUGGUCUUCGUUGUCGCUGUGGUUAUUCAGUUUGCUCUCUCAAUGGAGUUUGUUAUUGCCAUCGUUGGCUCUAUUGUCGCUAAAGCUGUAGAGAAUACGAUCUCUCCUAUCAAAAACCAUGUCAAAUACCUUUCCAAUCAUCAGAAAUAUGUUGAGACCCUCAAGAACCGAGCUAAUAGGCUGAAAGAUGCAAGGGACGGAGUACAGAAUUCUGUUGAUACAGCUAAACGAAACGGUGAGGAGAUCGCAGGUGAUGUUGACAAAUGGCUGUCUGCAGUCGACGAAAAGAUCCUUGAACAAGUAGAGAAAGUGAUGCAAGAUGAAGAAAAAGCAAAGAAAAAGUGUUUCAUUGGUUUGUGUCCCAAUUUCAGGACUCGUUACAAGCUUAGCCUGAAAGCUGAAGAGGAGGCAAAGGCUGUUGCCGAGCUACUUGAACAUGGCAAGUUUGAAAGGGUUUCCUAUCGUGCAGCUCCGCAAGGUAUCGUGGUUGCACCAGUUAAAGGUUAUGAGGAAUUCGAGUCAAGAACGUCGAUUUUGAACGGAAUAAUGGAGGCACUAAAAGAUGAUAGCGUCAGCGUUGUUGGGGUGCAUGGUACGGGUGGGAUUGGAAAAACAACGCUGGUCAAAGAAAUCGCUAGAAAGGUAAAGGGCAAGUUGUUUGAUUCGGUUGUCAUAGCAACCGUAACUCAAGCCAUCGAUAUUGAGAAGAUUCAGAACCAAAUUGUAGACUUCUUGGGCUUGCAAUUUGAGGAACAGAGUAUGGUUGGAAAGGCAUUUCGACUACGAGAAAGAUUGAAGGAAGAGGAGAGGAUUCUUGUUGUCUUGGAUGACAUUUGGGGAAAGGUUGAUAUUGAGGAAGUAGGGAUUCCUUUGGGAGAUGAACACAAGGGCUGCAAAUUACUAUUAACUUCUAGAGAGCUCAAUGUUUUAUCAAAUGGGAUGGAUGCUCAGAAAAAAUUUCCCAUUGGGUUUUUAAAUGAAAAGGAAGCCUGGGACCUGUUCAAGAAGAAGGCUGGCGACUGUGAUGAAAGUUGCGAUUUGAAGCCUAUAGCUAUGGAGGUAGCCAACAAAUGUGCAGGACUACCGAUAGCCAUUGCGACAGUUGCAGGGGCUUUGAGAAACAAAAGAUUGUUUGAAUGGAAGAAUGCUUUACGAGAACUGGAGAGGCAUUCGUCAAGCAACUUCAUGGGGAUAGCUGCGGCAUAUUCAGCUAUAGAGUGGAGUUUUAAUUAUUUAGAAAGCGAGGAAGUUAAGCUGACUUUCUUGCUUUGCAGUGUAAUAGGCCAUAAUGGUCUCGUUGAGGACUUGGUAAGAUAUACUCUAGGUUUGGGUUUAUUUGAUGGUGUCCUCACUAUGGAAGAAGCUAGAAAUAAAGUAUUGACGGUUGUGGCUAAUCUCAAAGCGUCUGCCUUGUUGCUUGAUAGUUAUAAUGAUAAGCGCUUUGAUAUCCAUGAUGUUGUUUGGGAUGCUGCUAUAGCUAUCGCAUUGAAGGACUACCGUAUGCUUGUUUUGAGAGAUCAUGCUCCAAAGGAGUGGUCCGAUAAGGAGAAAAUGAAGACGUGGAAUGUGAUCAGCUUACGUUGUCCUCAGAUUAUAGCUAACCUUCCUAAGGAGAUGGAGUGUUCAGGACUUUCCUUUUUCCGUAUGGCCUAUGAUGGCGCGGUUAAAAUUCCUCCCAAUUUUUUCAAACAAACCGAAGACCUCAAAGUCUUAGAUUUGUUCGGAAUGCAGUUUCCAUCCCUACCUGAAUCAAUUAUUCACCUCACGGACCUUCGCAUGUUGUGUCUAAAAGAAUGUGCAGUUGAUGACAUCACCAUCCUUGGAGAGCUCAAGAAUUUAGAAAUCCUCGACCUUUCUAAGUCAGGUAUCAAAGAAUUACCUAAGGAGAUGGCACAAUUGACUCAAUUAAGGUUGUUAGAUUUGCGUUGGUGUAGAGAACUCAAAAUCAUCCCACCGAAUAUCUUAUCAGGUUUGUCUAAAUUAGAAGAAUUAUAUAUGAGGGGGAGCUUUGUUGAAUGGGAGAAGGGAGGAAUAGUUGAAAAUGAGAGGAAAAAUGCAAGCCUUGAUGAAUUAAACAAUUUGCCUUGUCUAACUACUUUAUAUGUUCAUAUUCUUGAUGUCCAAAUGAUACCAAAACACCGGUUUGUUGAAACAUUAGACAGAUUCAAGAUUUUCGUAGGUAAUUAUGGAGCAUAUAAUUGUUUCCAUAAUUAUGAAUCUCCGAAAACAUUGAAGCUCAUGUUAUAUACAAACAUUGAUUUGGACAAUGGGAUGAAAAUGUUGUUGAUAAAGACAGAAGAUUUGUGCCUAGAGGGACUUGAAGGCGUCAAGAAUGUAUUUGUGGAGUUAAAUAAUGGGAAAGAUCUUCCCAAUUUAAAGAGACUUCAUGUCAAAAAUGGUAGGCAUGUCCAAUAUAUCAAAACGAACAAAAUUGGAUUUUCUGAAUUAUGCUUCAUCAAACUUGAAAAUCUACCGCAACUCGUUAGCUUUUGCUCUCCAGACGAAAGGUGUUCCACUAAGCCCUUACUACUUUUCAAUAAACAGGUAUUUGUUUGGCUUUACUUAUAUUUUCUUAUACAACUUUUAUUUAUAUGCCCAUUAAUACUUCUAAUAAUAGAAAUAAAUAAUAUUGUGUAAUGAUUUUUUUGGAGCUAAAAAAUAAAUUUCAAAUCCAAAACAAAUGAAAAUUUAAUUUUUAAUCCAAAUCGAUUGAAAGUACAAAAUCAAUUCAAUAAUCUAAAUUUAAACCCAACAAUUUUUUUUAAUUCUUAAAAUGAAAUUUGAGCCCACAAAUUGAACUAAAAUUAUCUUUAAAAUUGAAAAUCAUAUUUUCAAAUUAUGUUACAUACUACCUUUAUUUUAAAAGAAUUGUGUGUAAAUAUGUGCAAUUUAUUUUCCCUCAAUCGAAAACCAGACAUGUCAUUGGAUUACGAAUUUGAGGAGGUUGAUCAUCAAAGGAUGCGGCAAGUUGGAGCAUCUGUUAUCACCCUCUCUCGCUAGAAGUCUGGUGCAGCUCCAAUACUUUCAGAUAGAGGAUUGCAAGUGCUUAAGGGACAUAAUACUUACAGAGGAAAUUGAAGAAGAAAGGAAAGAUGUGAUUUGUUUCCCUCGAUUAAACUCCCUGCAUAUAGUGGGUCUUCCAAACCUCAUCUUCUUCAACUCAGGAAACCACAAUAUUGAGUUCCCAUUGUUGAAAGUGCUAAAGAUUCAGCGUUGCCCCAAGUUAAUAGAAUUCAUUAGUCAGAAUAGUAAUCAGUCCGGCAUGCAAGCUCUCUUCAGUGAGAAGGUGAUUUAUUUCAUUAGUCUUACACUCUUGCAUAAAUCUGUUGAUUUGUCCUUGUUUUUUUUUUCUGCCUUCAUUAUUUGAGUUAACCUUAUUAUGGGCAUGGAUUAUAUAUAUAUUAUAUAUAUGAAUAGAUUGCAGUUCCAAGCUUGGAAGACAUGAAUAUCUCUAACUUGAGUAAUGUGAAGAUGAUAUUUUAUAAUGACCUAGCACCAGAUUCCUUUAAAAAUCUACAAAAAAUAAGUGUUUGGGGAUGUGGGAGUUUGAAAAAUCUAUUUCCAGUAUCAAUAGCCAAAGAUCUUCCACAACUUGAACAUUUACGCAUCACUGAUUGUGGAGUUGAGGAGAUUGUAUCGAAAGGGGAUGGAGUGGAGGAGCAGCCUGUGAGGUUUGAGUUUCCGCAAGUGUCUUACCUUGAGGUUAGUGGGGUAGAAAAGCUCAAAUGUUUCUAUGAAGGGCAACAUACAAUAGUCUGGCCGAUGUUGAAAAAAUUGACAACAGAUAGUUCUGCUUUGCUAAAGAUAGUGGCAUCGGAACAUCUUAGAUUAAUCCAAGGAAAUGA